CAACAAGAACUUCUCAUUGUCCUCUUCAGCGACUUUUACCAACCGCUCCACUAAAUUCUUCUUCUCCUGAAACCCAAGGUUAUGGAUAUCAAUUUCACUGGCCUCGCCCUCGGAUCCCAUCAGCAAACCUCUCCUCAACCGAUUGUAGGUGGGAAGUUUCUCGAGUGCGGCCCAUUUCAAAGCUUCCUCAUCAUCCUCAUCCCUCGAAGAUCGGGAGAAAAUAUCCGCACCGGAGCUCCUCCAUAUCGAAGAACCGUUCCUCCUUAAACUACCACUGGCUCUAUAAAUGUCAGCAGUGGCCAUUGCAACCUGAAACGAAGAACCCUCCUGCAAGACCAACCAAAACCCACAAAAACCCAGAAAUCUUUCCUCAAAAGUCUGAGAAAGAAGCUCAGAGUUUUGAACCCUGGAGCCCAAAGAAGCUAAAAAUCAGAUACGCGUCCCCUUCCUCCCUUUUCUCUGCAUACCUUUGAACUGCUAAUACUUGAUGCCUUCAGAAUGGAGGGUUUAUAUAGGUGAUGGGUUGAACAGACCCUCAAGUUUUCUAACUUCUUGGUUUCCUAUGACUUUUCCUUAAAAAAAAUUAGCGGGGAAAUUGAAUAUAUAAGCUGCUGGGUAACGAUUCCAACGACUUUGACCCGUCAAAUUCUUAAAUAAAACACUUCUAGAGUUUCCCAAUGGGAACGCGAUCUGUUUAAAGCUUCCCACCGGCCAAAUGAACAAACUUUUUCCUUCCAACUGUUGGGUCCAGGAAGGUUCCUAGUGGACCCAAAUCCUCCAAAACUAUAUAUAUAUAUUUGGCAUUUUUUUUAACGGAUUAAAUACAUUUUUCCCGGCUUUUGCACAUAUGUCUUCUGACGACUUUACGGAAAAUCCUUGGAGAAUUGUCCUUCUAGACGUUCUAAAACGGUAAUGUUUUGGUCAAACGGAAAGUCAACCAUGGAAAAUAAAGGUUUAACAGAUAGAUAACAAUGAUGUUUUUUUUUGUGCGCAUACCCUCUGACCUCACGAACACGCACGUUUCUAGAUUUCCUUGACCUUGUGAACACGCACGUUUCUAGAUUUCCUUUACCUUAUGAAUACGCACGUUUCAAUCUAUAGUAAUGAGUACGAGUAUAGAUUACUUUAAGUGGAAAAAUUUUCUAAAUGCUCAAGAGUUUGAUAAUAAUUUUAUAUUUCACAUUAUAUAAAUCAAACUUCCCUUUUAAAACACUCAUCUUCUUAUCUCUUUCAAAAAAAAAAAAUUGAGUUGAUAUCAACAAUCAAAAAUAAAUUUAAAAAUUUUUAAAUUAAAAAUAUAAUUAAAAUUUAAAAUAUAUAAAAAAAAAUAUUCACCCCAACUACAUUUUCAACGCUUUCUUAUUAUAUAUAUUUAUAAAUCCCAAAGAUUAUCUCAAUUUUAUUUUUAUAUUUUGACCUCAAUUUUGUUAAUAAAUUUUAAAUCUUAAUAACAUGUGUUUUUUUGGCCCACUCACCCUUUAAUUUUAAUUUUUAUUAUUUUAUAUUUUUUUAUUUUAUUAUUAUUAUUACUUACUACUACUACUAUUAUUAUUAUUAUUAUUAUUAUUAUUAUUAUUAUUAUUAUGUUUUAUUUUAUUUUUUUAUUUUUUUCUUUCUUUUCUCUCUCCUCUCUCUUCUCUCUUCCUACUCUCCAACUACCCCACCCACUGUCUCUCUCUCUCCUCCCAUACCCCUCAUCCCACAACCAUACCCCGAUUACCCCCCUCCUCCUCCUCCCAUUCAUUCUUCUACUAUGGCUGGCCUCCCAUUCCCCUUUCUUUUUUUUUUUUCUUUUUUUUCUUUCUUCUGCUUCUCACCCUAGGACACACGCACAGCCGGCCCAUUUUUCCCCCAUUCUCACCGGAUUCCAGAUAUUUUUCCUCUUCUCGGCUGACUCCCACAGUAGUCAACAACCCUAUCUCCCCACUCCGUUUCUCAGCUCUUUCCCCAUUUUUCCUUCACUCCACAGACGACCAUAGCUGGCUCCCCAGUUUUCUUGAUUUUUUUUAUUUUUAUUUAUUUUUAUUUUUAUUUUGGCUACCCAAACACCACAUCUCGUCGACCCCGAUUCUCUUCUUCCUAUUUUUUCUCUCAUUUUCUCCAUUUUUUUCUCAUCUCUCUCCUUACUCACUCUCACAUGAUUGGAGCCCCCCAUUUUCUUCUUCCCCAUUUUUCAUUUUUGUUCUCUAUCCAAACACCCACUUGCAGAGACACAGGCUGACCCAUUUCUUCUCUUCCAUUUUUAUUUUUAUUUUUUAGUAUCUCCCUUUUUUUUAUUAUUAUUAUUAUUAUUAUUAUUAUUAUUAUUAUUAUUUGUUUUUGUCUUUCAAAAACACCAUCAACCCUCAUUGCGCCGGUCGGCGACCCCCUCUCAUUUCCUCUCAUUCCGUCACUUUCCUAUCCCACUCACUUUCCAUUACUAUUAUUAUUGUUAUUAUUUUUUAUUUGAUUUUAUAAAUAAAAUUGAAUAAUGAUAAAUAAAAUUGAAUAUAAUAAUAAUUGUUAUUAUUAUUGUAUAUAAUAAUAGUAAUAACAAUGAUAAAUAAAAAAUAAAUAAAUAAACAAAAGAUAAAUAUUGAGAAAGAGUUGAAAAUGCAUUAAGAGUUAACAUAUAUAUCAUUUCUAGGAUUAAAGUUUUUUUUUUUUUUUUUACUUUUUAUUGUAUUUUUUAUUUUUAAAAUCUUUUAUUUUAUUGUUUAGGCCAACCAACAAAAUUUUUAUUCAAUUUUUUUUAAAAGAGAUAAGAAGAUGGGAUGUUUUAAUCAAGAAUACUUGAUUUAUAUAAUGCAAAAUAUAAAAUUAUUAUGGGAGGAUUUUUCCACAUUGACUUGCAAUCAAUAUUAUAUAAUUAAUAAAUUAAUAAAUAUAUUUGUUAGUAAGAUAAUUUUAAUAAAUUUAUAAAUAUAUUUAUUAGCAAGAUAAUUUUAAUAAAUUAAUAUGAGAAAUCAAUUUUAUGAUAAUUUUAUUUAUUAUUGUCAAAUUUUUAGUAUCUAAAUUUUUAGGAGAGAUCAUUAAGAGGAUCUAGUUUUGCAUGAUUUUAAUAUUUGAUCCCUAGUUUUAUUACUAAAUAUGAGAUUAUGGUUCUAGGAAAAAAAAAAUUCUAAUGUUAGAAAUUUGAAAAUAUAUAUAUAAUUACUAGUCAUUAUGCAUUUAAUGCAUUGACAGAUGAUCACUUAGGCUUACAUCCUUAAUCAGUUGAGCAAUCAAUUUGACGGAAACUCAACUAGUCAAAGCUUUAACUACUAGAAAAGAGAAAAAUAACAAAUGUGUCUUGAUUUAUCAAGUCUAACCUAUUCAACAGAUUCCUCAACUCCUCAAUCGUAAAUGGCAUGGUUUAAGGUCUAAAACCUCCAAUAACUUACGUUAACCUUCUUAAAACUUUUCAAGAUAAAUUUAAAAGUAAUUUAGUUCAAGGUUUUAAUUGAAAAUAAAAAAUCGUCCAAUUCUUUGAUAUAUGUAUAAAUGAUCUUAAUUUUACACAACAUUUUAGGUUAAUUUAAGUCUUCAAGGAUCCUAAGUCUUCCAUGAUUGCUUGAGCUUUCUUUGGAUUUUCAAUAGUAAACUUAAAACUUAAUUUGAUUUAAACUAUUAGUAAUUUUAACUUUAUUUUGUAAUUAUAAUUAAAAAAACCUAUUAGGAGAAUCCUUGGGCUAAUAGUCUUGAUGUUUGAUCUUUAAGAUUAUUCAAUUCCAAAAAGAAAUGGGAGGAUCAAGGAUUUUUGUUGGUUGAAGGAGAGUGAGAGGGGCUAGCCAUGUCAAACAACACACUUUUGAUGCCUUUUGAUAAGGGUUAUAAUUGGUUAAAUUGGUCAAAAUAACCUCAAUAUUUGCAAAUUUAACCCACCUAUCAAAAAGUUAAAAAAUAAAAAUAAAUAAAUUGUUGAUUGAGACAAAAAUGCCCUUCCUUUUAUUUCCCUCCAACACUUACAACUUCUCAUCUUCUACUUCAUUUAACCUUCUACAAAAAAAACUCAUCAUCUUUUUCUUCAAAAACCAUAAAAAAAUUCUCAUCAUUUUCUUCUACUUCAUUAUCUUCUUUUGGUGUAUAGAAAGGAAAGCUUAUCUUCUAUUCUGCUUCAUUUAUAGAACAACUUCUCAUCUUUUAUCUUCUUAUUUAUUUCAUUCUCUCCAUUUGGUGCAUAGAACGGAAAGCUCAUCUUUCCUUUAGAAGCCCUAGAAAAUUUCUCGUCUAUCAUCUCAUUCUCUAUUUCAUUCCCAAUCCUUAGAAAAAUUAUCUCAUCUCAUUUUAUCCUCUAGUCUAUCCUCUUAUCCUCUCAUCUUUUUGUCAAGGUAUCUCAUAUUGUAUCUUCAAGCACGAUAAAAAAAUAAGUUCAUUGAAGAGUGAUAAGAGAAAAAGAUUAAAAAUGGUGGUGAAAAAUCAAAAAUCACAAUUGCGAAUAGAAAAAGCAAAAAUUGUGACUAUGAACUUAACUGUGGUUAAGUACUUUAUUAAUGCAACUCAACUAUUGUUAAGUUCAAGUGAAAAUUCCGACUAUGAACUUAACCGUGGUUGAGUUAUUUGUUAAUGCAACUCAACCACUAUUAAGCUCAGGUGAAAAUUCUAACUGUGAACUUAACUGUGGUUAAGUUAUUUGUUAAUGUAACUCAACCAUUGUUAAAUUCAAGUGAAAAUUCUGAUUGUGAACUUAACUUUGGUUAAGUUAUUUGUUAAUGCAACUUAAUAAUAAUUAAAUUUAUAUUAAUGCAAUGACCGUUAACUUAACCAUAAUUAAACUUAAUCAAUUAAUUUAUAUGAUAAAACUAAAACAUUAAUUUAAAAUUUCAAUCUAUAAUUCAAAAAAAUUGCUUUAAGCAUAUACAAAAAAAUAAGCUCACAAAUCCCUUCAUGACCCUAUAUAGAAAAAUAAAUAAAUAAAAAUGUAGAUACAUAGUUAAAUCAUCCUUAAAAAACAAAUUCUAUUGUAGCAUUAUUAAAGUGACUGAUGAAUUGGUUGUAAGGGAAAUUCAUGGAUGUUGAUAUUGCUCUCAACAAUAUUGACACAACUAUAUUCAUCUCUAGGAUGUAAUAGGAUUGAUCGUUCGCAUGUUUUUCGAUUAUGCUCAUAAUCACCACAUCUACCACAACAUCAUGUGUGCUUAACCUCUCCACUUGAAUGAAUUCUCUCCUUUCUUGGUCUUCCUACUGGUCGUCAACUUUUUAAAGGUAGCACAACUCUACAAUGAAUGUCUUCCUGAAUGCAAUACACAACUCUCAUUAAUUCAUGAUAUGAUAUAUUCUUCUUCACCAUAAGGUCUUUACCUUCAUUUCCUUUAAAGUGGUAUAUGUUCUCAUCUGAUACCUAAUUCCCUUUAUACAAAAGCAUUAUUCAUACCUCAUCAAUGACUGCAAAAAUAAAUAUUUCAAAUUAUCAUAUUAAGAAUGAAAUAGUACAACAUAUGAAAUACUUUUAUUAAGUUUCAAUUAUAGACUAUGUAAUGAAUCUUAAAACAUAUAUUUAUAUUUUUAUUAGAUAACCCACUACAUAAUAAUAUGUCAACAAUUCAAUCUUAGUUUUCAAUAUAGUUAUAUAAAAAUAGACUUUUGCUUUGAAUAGCAACACAUAAACUCAACUUAUGUUAAGUUAAAUCUAAAAAAUAGUAAAAUUUGUUGUUCAAUGCAGCAAUGCAACACUUCCCAUAAAUCAAAUAUCCAAAGGAACAAUAUAUAACUACAAUAGGUAUUAAUCAUAUGAGCAAUACUAAAACCAUAAUAAUUUUUCAUGCAUGUGAUUUAUUGCUUACCAUCAUUUGACCUUGUCAUAUGGAUAAAUCUUUUUAACUUCUUUUGAAUGAACUUUUCACUUUUUCAUAACUAAUAAUGGAGUCUCUAUUUUCUACCUACAAUGGUGAAGUGAGGUUUUGAAUUUUUAGAAAACAGAAAGAAAUAAAAUGAUAAUCUAAAAAAGAAAUUGUUGGUUGCUUACAUUUUUUUUUUUCAUUUUAUCGUGAUCAAGAAUGAAGAAUAAAUGAAACAAUGGUAAGAACUUAGGCUUGUUCGCUACAGGAAAACAAAGAGAAGGAGCAACCAAUGAUUGAAUAAAAAAAUAAAAACCUAAUCUACUAUAAAAAUAGAACAAAAGGGAAAGUUAUAUUGGAGGGAAAAAUGAGGGGUAUUUUUGUUUCAAUUAGGUCAACUUUUUUGCCUUUUAAGGGGUGGGUUAUAUUUGCAAAUAUGGGUGUUAUUUUGACUCGUAUAACCAAAUAAACCUUUUAAAAAGGGUGACCAUGGUAUGAUGACCCUUUCUCCUUUCCUUUUGGUUUAUUUUCAUUUCAUGGCCACUUAUUAAGAUGAGUGUUAUUCAAUAGAUCACCGUAUGUUCUUCCAAAUAAAUCAUUCCGACCUGUCUAAGCUUUGAAGAUUUUGUAACUCCAACUUGGAAUCUCCUAGAAGCAUUAAAGAUUCUUAUGCUUCCCCAAAGGAAGAUAAUAGCUACAAGGGAAGUUUCCUAGUCUAAAAUGAAAUAUAAGAAGGGACCUGUCACUUCAUCUUUGAGGUUUGGACAUGAUGGAGGCAACAUUUUGUUUGGUUGGGGAGAAAAUGUAGGAAACACCUAUCAGGCAAACUCACCUAUCCAUACGAUUCUUGAGCUUUAACAAGAACUUCUCAUUGUUCUCUUCAACAAUUUUUAUCAACCGCUCCACUAAAUUCUUCUUGUCCUGAAGCCAAAGGUUGUGUAUAUCAACUUCAAAGCCCUCACCCUCUGAUCCCAGCAACAAACCUUUCCUCAACCGAUUGUAGGUGGGGAGUUUCUCGAGUGCAGCCCAUUUCAAAGCAUCCUCGUCAUCCUCACCCCUCGUAGAUUGGGAGAAAAUCUCGACAUUAGGGGUCCUCCAUCUCAUAGAACCAGCUCUACGAGUUUUAGGAGUCGACAUUGCAAGUAGAAAGGAAGAACUCUCUUGCAAAACCAACAAGAACUUGGCAAAACCCGAACGGUUGAAAUUAUAAUCCGAGCUAAAGUCAAACUAAAAGAAUUUUAGGAAUUUGAUAAAUAUUAAAAUUGUUAUUUAUUUAGAUUUUUAUGUUAAUUAAGACUUUUGGUAUAAUAGCAAUUGGAGUCUUGGUACAUUGGUUUAUUAUAAGUUAUCAUGUUGAAAAGAAAAAAUGCAAUAAAGUAUUAUUUUAGCAAAAAUAUUAUUAAUACUCAAUUGUGUGGGUUCCAACUGAAACCUUUCCAAAGAAUAUAAACUCCUUUUUCUCUCUCUUAGUACAAUGUUAUGUCUUGUUGUAUUGCUACUACUGCAUUGUAAAAAUCAUAUAGAAUGGAAGGUUUAUGUAGUUAUUGGUAGGACAGAAAAUGAAGCGGUUCAAAAGAUUUGAAACUAGUUUAUUUUCUUGUGAUUCUUUAAGCUAUGUUUGGUUUAUGGAAAGUAGUAAGGAAAGAAAAAAAAGUGUUAAGAAAAAUGGUUUUUUUAUGUUUAGUUUCAUAAUGAAAAAUAAAAAAGAAAAUAAAAUAUAAUUAAAAUUUGUUAAAAAUUUAUAUAUUUUAAAAUUAUUUAAUCUUUGUAUAAUAGUCGAAAAUAAGUAAAAUAACUUUGAAGAAAUAUAUUGAAGUAAUUUAUUAAAUUUAAAUUUAUUUAAAUUUUCUUCAUUUUUUUUUCUUUCUACUUUUCCUCUUUAUUUUUUUUCCUUCACAUUUUUUCUCAUAUUUUUUGGGAACCAAACAUAGCCUAGAAAAUUAGUGAGGGAAAUCGACUAUAAAAAAGUUUGUGCAAUGACUCCAUAAUAUUGUACGCAUGCCACCAUUUUUUUUUUCCUUUCAACUUCCUAUAUUAAGACUUUCACGGUUCAUAAUUUUUGGUUUCUUACACUUUCUUUAGCAAGUAAACAAAAAUGUGAAUUAUUGAAUGUUUUGUUAGUUUUUAAAAUAAGAAAUAUAAUACUCAAUUUUAUACAUGUUUUCAGGCAUGUUUGGUAUGUAAGUUAUGAUAGGAUAGAGUAUCUAUAUUCUAUAAUAUCAAAUAUGCAUUAAAUGAAAAAUGCAUAUUUUAAACUAUAAUUUCAAUGAGAUAUGAUAUAUUUUUUAUAUUAAAUCCAAUAUGAUAUUGUAAGAUGACAUAUCCAAUGCAUUUCCUAAAAUAAAUGAUUUCCAUAUAUUUUUUAAGAUUAUUAAAUCCAAUGGAUAUAAUAUUCUAAGGUAACAUAUCUAAUGAGAUAGGUAAUGUAACAUUAUGCUUAUAUUUAAUUUGUAAAAUGAAUAAAAAAUAAAAUGGAUUAUAUAUUAUUUUAUAACAUAUCUUCUAUUUUAACCAUAAAUUUAACUUUGCAAUAAAAAAAAAUAUUUUACUAAAUAAGUGAUAAAAAAUAAAAAAAUAAUAAAAGAAAAAUAAAUUUAUGAUACAUAGAAUAAUAUAUCUCACUACUUAUCCGAUGUAGAAGGAAUAUAAAAAAGAUAUAGAUAAUAUAUAUCACUACUUAUUCUACCAUAUGUUCCAUCCACCCAACCAAACCAUGACCUUACGAUAUAAAAAAAUUAAAGUUUAAUAGCAUCCACAUUAAUAAAAACAAACAAUUUACGAAUAUAAACCAAACAAUCAAACACUCAAAUGAUAUUUCGCUCUAUUUAGACUAAUGAAAAAUAAACAAUUUAAAUAUUAAAAAACAUUCCACUUUAUUAAGCUUUAAGGUUAGAAUCUUAAAAAAAAGUUGCUUUAAGAAUAUUUUUUAGAGUUAUUUCAAAGGAAUGGAAUUAUUUGUUUUUUUUUUUUUUUCAUUUAUGUCGUAAAGCAAAUUAUUUUAAAAUUUAAAAUCAAAAUAUAAAAAUUUUAUUUUUUAUAUUAAGAUAAAAUUGUCUUAUAAAAAGUAACAAGUUAAAAAACAAAUAAUUUUUAUAAUGACUUAAGUCUUAACACUAUUAAGCAUUAUUUAGAUAUAAGGUUUAUUUAAUUUUUUUUUUUAUAAAAAAAUACCAUCUUUCACAUAAGAUUUAAGUAGGUUUAACCUAUUCGAAAUUGCUUGAAAUCUAAGAGGUUAUUUGUUUUUUAAACUUAAAUCUUAAAGCUAGUUGCUUUAAAAUUUAAGAUAAAACUAAAUAAAAUAAAAUAAAAUAAAAACUUUUGUUAUUAAGACAAAAUUUUCUUUUAAAAAUGAUAAACUAAAAAGAUAAUUUGAAAAAUGACUUCCAUCUUAAAGCAACUCUUUUUAUUAGGAUUCCAUGUCUAUCCUAAUUAAAAUUAAUAAUCAACUUGAUUUUGAGUAAGUUUAUAUUAUUGUUAACCGACAUUAUUUUUCAAUAAAAGCAUUUGCGAAAACAUAAACACAUUUAUGCUUCAAUAAAUGGAAUACAUUUUUUAGUAAUAUAACCAUACUUUAUUUAAAAAAAAAAACAUAUUAGUCUAAUAAUCGAUAUUCAUAAUUGAUAAUAUCAUAUAUUAAAAAUUAUGAACGGUGAAUAACUAAUAUAUAUGGAUUAUUAAAGUAACGAUGAGCAUACAACCUAUGUAACUUGGUGAAAACUUUUUUGUCCAUCUGUUUUUGCUUUGCUUAUUAAAAAAUAAAUUAUUAAAGCAAUAAUGAGCAUAAAAAUUAAUUAAAACAAUAACUAUCACUCAAAUGAAGUAUUAUAGGCUCUAUUGAUAAUUGUUUUUAAAAACAAUUUUUAUUCUCCAGAAUAAAAAAACAAUGAAACAAGUUUGAUAAUAGAAAACAAAAAACAUUUUAUUGUUUUUUUUUAUAAAAAAAAGACAUUGUUUUUUCAAUCCUUUAAUUGUUUUCACUUUUUUUAAGGAUUACUAAAAAAAAUUAACCAAAUGAUUAAAAAUAAAACACUACAUGUAAAAAUUAUUUUAAACCAUAUUUAAAAAUAUAGAAAAUAGGUUAAAAAUAUUUUAGAUUUUUAAAUAGACUUUUGUUUUAUAAAAAAUCAAAUAACAAUUUUCAAAAAUUAUUUUUAAAAAUUGUUUUCAAAAAAACAUUUUUCAUAUAGAACCCUAUCCUACCAACUAUAUAUAUAUAUAUAUAUAUAUAUAUUCACACAAUGCUAAUGCUAUGAAAAGGUAAUGAUAAUAGAGAGUAGAGAAGAACUUACUAAAUUGAAGAUCGAACAAGUCUUAGAAAAACAUUGUCAGUAAGACAUGGGAUGAGAACGAUUUCAUAUAGCUACUGAGAUUGUCCUCAAAGUUACAGCUAGUAAAAUUGUCCUCAAAGUUGUUCUUCAAAAACAAAAAUACUAUAAAUGGUUGGAUCCAACCUUUCAAGGAAACCAAAGCCUUUUUUUUUGAUAAAGAGAUUUUUUUUUUCCCUUCUAAAAUGAACAUUCUAUAUAUAGAAUCUGAAGGUAUUAAACUGUGCCUCCAAGUAGUUUGACUGUAAAGUAAAAUUCAAUCCUAUGUGUUGAUUGUUCUUGUGGUUUGCUAAUUGGUCAGGCAAUCGAUCUUUCCUCAAGUGGUUUCCAUAUUAUCAUUUUUCAUCUUUUUCCUCAUCAUUUUUAUCCUUUUCCAUAAGUAAAAAAAUAUUUAAAUAAAUUAUUUCAUUAGCAAUUUGUUGAAUACUUGAAAAUAAAUUAAAUAAGAGAAGUAUUCACAUAUUUUUUACUUAAUUAGUCAUGAUGACAUUAAUAAUGAGAGUAAGGUAUAACCAAAUAAGACUAAGAUAGGAAAAAAAUGAGACCAAAAAAUUUGUCUCUAAAAGGUAUGAAAAAUUGAGAAUCAAAUAUGAAUUCAGGAGAUAUAGGUAUAAAUUUAACAAUAAAAAUGUUAAUUAUGCUUAAAUGUAUGAAUUUAAGAAAAUCUUAAAUUUUGCUCAUAAUUAUUCAUGAUCACGUCAAAUUUAUAUAUAGGAAUGGUUGANNNNNNNNNNNNNNNNNNNNNNNNNNNNNNNNNNNNNNNNNNNNNNNNNNNNNNNNNNNNNNNNNNNNNNNNNNNNNNNNNNNNNNNNNNNNNNNNNNNNAGCAAUGCAUAACCAAAUGGUACUAAGAUAGGAAAUAAUGAGACCAAAGAACUUGUCUUUAAAAGGUAUGAAAAAAUAAGAUUCAAAUACCAAUUAACUAGAUAUAGGUAUAAAUUUAAUAGGAGAAAUAUUAAAUACGCUUAAGGUUAUGUUUGGUUCCAGGAAACUAUUAAGAAAAGAAAAAAAAAUAUAAAGGAAAAUUAUUUUCUGUUUGAUUGUUUUAUGAAAAAUAUAAAAGAAAAUCAAAUAUAAUUAAAAUAAACAGAAUGAGUUUAAAGUUAUAAAUAAAAAUAAUUUAUCGACUUUUAAUUCUUUCGUAUUUUCCCACAAAUUUUCAUGGAACCAAACAUAGCAUAAAUGUAUGAAUUUAGGAAAAUAAAAAAUUUUGGCCAUAAUUUUUCAUCAUUUCAUCAAAUAUAUAUAGGAAUGGUUGAAAAUAAUGAGAGCAAUGUAUAACCAAAUGAUAUUAAGAAAAUAAUGAAAUCAAAUAAUUUGUCACUAAAAGGUACUGAAAAUGAGAGUCAAAUAUGAAUUUAUGAAAUACAAGUAUAAAUUUAAUAAGAGAAAUCCUAGUAAUGCUUAAAUAUGUGAAUUUUAGAAAUUCUAAAAUUUUGACCAUAAUUAUUCUCACAUCAAAUAUAUAUAUAUAUAGGAAUUGUUGAAAAUAAUGAAACCAAAAAAUUUGUCUCUAAAAAGUACCAAGAAAUGAGAAUCAAAUAUGAAUUAAUCAAAUAUAAGUAAAUUUAGUUAGAGAAAUAUUAACAAUGCUUAAAGAUAUGAAUUUAAGAAAAUCUAAAAUUUUAACCAUAAUUAUUCAUGAUUACAUUAAAUAUAUAUAGGAAGGGUCGAAAAUAAUGAGAGCAAUGUAUAAGCAACUGGGACUAAGAAAAUAAUGAAACAAAAAAAUUUGUCUCUAAAAGGUAUGAAAAAAUGAGAGUAAAAUUAUGAAUUAAUGAGAUAUAGGGAUGAAUUUAACAAGAGAAAUAUUAAUAAUGCUUAAAUAUAUGAAUUUAAGAAAAUCUAAAAUUUUGGUCAUAAUUAUUCAUAAUCACAUCAAAUAUAUAUAGUGAUGGGUGAAAAUAAUGAGAUCAAUGUAUAACCAAAUGAGACUAAGAUAGAAAAUAAUAAAACUAAAAAAAUUCUCUAAAAUGUAUGAAAAAAAUGAGGUUAAAUAUGAAUUAACAUAUGUAAAAAUUUAAUUAGAAAAAUAUUGACAAUCUUAAGUAUGUGAAUUUAAGAAAAUCUAAAAUUUUGACCACAAUUAUUCAUGAUCACAUCAAAUAUAUAUAGGAACGGUUGAAAAUAAUGAAAGGUAUAAUCAAAUGAGACUAAGAUAGAAAAUAAUGAAACCAAAGAAUUUGUCUUUAAAAGUUACAAAAAUAAAAAAAAAUGAGAGUCAAAUGUGAAUUAAUGAGAUGUUGGUAUAAAUUUAAUCAGAGAAAUAUUAAUAAUGCUUAAGCAUAUGAAUUUAAGAAAAUCUAAAAUUUUGGUCAUAAUUAUUCAUUAUCACAUCAAAAUAGGACGCUUGAAAAUAAUGAGAGCAAGGUAUAAUCAUACGAGACUAUGAUUAUCAAACUACUUCAAAAUCAAAAUCCUUAAUAGAAUCAAAUCAUCAAGAUGAUGUUAGUCUUUUUCAAAACAUUGAAGAAAAUCUAAGCCAAAGUUCCAAUGACCAAGAAAUAUGCAUAAAAGAUAGUUGCCGACCAAAGACCUUAAAAGUAAUCACUAAGGAAUAAGAAUUGAUUUUAGAAUUACUUAUUAAGGUUAAAGAUUCUUCAAUAAGAACAUAAUUAUGUGAAAUUUGUAAGAAAUCGAUUUCUAAACUAGAAAUGAAAAAAAAACUAUAAAACCUUAUAACUUCGAUGAAAUAUUGACAAGAUUUAACUAUAAUUCCCUAAAAAAGUGAUUAUUAAAGAUCUUCAAUAGGAAAUAAGAUGAUGUUAGAAGUUAGAGAAUUAAGACAAUGCACCAACAUAUGUUUAACAAACCUUCAAGAACAAAUUAAUUAGAUAGUAAGUAACAAGAAUUAAUUUAUCCUAAAAUCCUUAUAAGUUAAUGAAGAUUUAUCACACUUAUAUCUCAAUGUUAUAAAUAGGGUCAUCUUUAAAAAAAUGCAAUGUUUCCCUAACAAUUGUGAUUAACAAUGAGUUCAUCGCUAAGAUUAAUUGUUGUCUUAAUAGAUUCAAGAGUAGCUUCUUUAUGACAUGCUAUUAGGUCAAACUUAAGAUUAGCUACAAAUUGUCUAAGGCUCAUAUCAAUAAUCAAGGGAUAUGCACACAACAUUUAAUUUGGUAUAAGAUUUAAGAGAGAAAUAUCCUUGGAAUACCCUUUUUAAUUGUCUACCCUAUCACUAGAGUAGAUGGUAAAGGUAUAAGACUAAACUCUUAAAUCAAGAGACUCUUUUUGAAUUUGCAUAUCCUCUAAAAAGAAACCUAAAUAAAUUAAGAUCCUUGAUUAUUUCUAAAAAAAUAUAGGCUAAGGAUAAUCAUAUCAAUUUUUUAGUUCAAGAAGUUAGAUAUAAGAGAAUUGAAGAACAAUUGGAAGUUAAAAAGACUCAAGAUGCUAUCCAAUAAUUCAAAGAAAAGUUGGUUAGAGAAGUCCAUCCUAAAUUCCCUAAUGUAUUUUGGCAUAGGAAUGAACAUGUAAUAGAACUACCUUACAACCUAGAAUUUAGGGAAAAUGAUAUUCCCACUAAGGCAAGACCAAUUCAAAUGAUUCAAAAACCAUUGAGAUAUUAUGAAAAGGAAAUUUAAGAACUCUUUGAUAAAAAAUUAAUAAAGAAUCCAAAUCUCCUUGAAGUUGUGUAUGCGCAAAUUUCGUGAAGUCUUGCAAAACAACCAAAAACUAUAGGAAAAAUCUAUGUGAUCAAAACUUUAUAUUGAAAUUAAUUGAUUGUGCGGUAUAGACUCAAAUAUAAUAUUCUUUACAAAAAAAUAUUUUCCCUUUGAUUCAUUCACUUUGAUUACAAUCCCAAAGAUGAUGACAAGAGUCUUUUCUUGAUUAUUUUAGAAAAUCAAUCCAAGGCUUAGAGUGGUUUUUUCUUGAAUGAACUUGUUAAAUGGUGAAAAACACGUUUAUGCAUUUUCUCAUACUUGCAGGGAGAUUUUAUAAUAAUAAUAAAAAAAUUCUUUGUAAAGCUUUUUUUCCUAUGUGAAGUCCUUUUGCCAAUCUCUCUUUUCCUUGAAAGAAGUCACCUUUAUUUAUAGGUGAAGAUAGGAAAUUAAAUUUUGAAUUUCAAGAUUUGAUUACUUCAUUCAAGGAAUUUGGUUCCUUGAUUAUUUUCAUAACUUUUCUCCUUCCUCACUAAAGUUUUGUCAACAAGAUAAUAUCUAUUAUUUGGUUGGAGAUUUUUGUUCCCCUUUUUUUAGGAAACUUGUUAAAAAGAGAAUAUCUAUUUCUACUUCUCUUCGAUUAGAAGACUUAAUUUCAUAGUCUUCCAAAUUUUACUACGUGUUACCUUCAAAGUUGCAUGCCACAUGUCUAAUGACUUGUCAAGCCUAAAUUUUGUUGAAAUAUGAAGUUACAAUUUUGAAGUCCGAUUUAAUGGUAAUUUAAUCCACUAAAAAUUUGGAUAGCUACAAAUUUCUCUAUUGUUUAUGUUAAAAAACAAACAAAAUUUGAAAGAGGAACACCUAGGCUUGUGAAUAAUUACAAACCCCUUAAUGAAGCCUUAAGAUGGAUUAGGUAUCAUAUUCCAAAUAAGAGAGACCUUCUUCAAAGAUUAGUUAAUUAGUCUAGGAUAUUCUUUAAGUUUGACGUGAAAUCAAGCUUUUUUGGCAAAUCCAGAUCAUAGAAAAAAAACAUGUAUAAAACAACUUUUACAAUACCAUUUGGACAUUAUGAAUGGAAUUUAGUAUCAUUUGGUAUUAAAAAUGUCCUCUCAUAAUUUCAAAACAUUAUGAGGCAACUGUCCUAAUGAUGAACUCAUUGUUAAUUACAAUUGUUAGGAAAAUAUUUCAUUUUUGAAAGAUGAUCCUAUUUAUAACAUUGAGAUACGAGUCUGAUAAACCUUCAUUGACUUUUGAGGAUUCUAAGAUAUCUUGAUUUUUAUUACUUAAGAUCUUAUUAAUUUGUUCUUGAAGGUCACUUAAACUUAUAUUGGUGUAUUGUCUUAAUUCUUGAACCUCUAUGUGUGCGUGCGUGCGUGUUCUCAUAACAAUUGCAGCAGCUCUUGCAUCUAGCCCUGAAGUUGGCUCAUCCAUGAAUAUUAUUGAGGGAUUUGCCACAAGCUCAACUGCAAUGGUCAGCCUCUUGCGCUGCUCAGUUGAGAGACCAUUUACACCUGGCAACCCAACUAGUGUGUCCCUCAAUGGGGUCAGUUCAACGAGCUCCAUGACUUCCUCAAUGAACAUCUGUAACCAUUAGCAAGGAUUAGAAAUUGUUUGAACCGGCACUUUUCCCCAGAGUGAAGCUCAACCAAUUUUGGGAUGAUGCACACUAAGCAAGGCUUCCAAAAUUCUGAACAAUCAAAGCAAGUGAUUCUACAAUUCAAAGCAUAACUGCUUCAUUUGGAUAUGAUCAUCAGGAUACCACUGUAUGAGCACCAAACUUUCUUUCAUUGAAUGAGUUGAAUACUAGGAAAACUGAACUACUUCUCUUCAUGGGUCCAACAUAUCAGUAGAAAUGGGAUCUGAAAGCGCAGACAUGGAACCGCUGGAAAUAACUCUGAACCUUCUGAAGAAGGCCACAACUUCCCUUUUUGAUAACUCAAGUCUAAAUUUAAGAGCAUUGCAAACCCUGCCCCUGGUACACACUUUGUUGGCUUUGAAACCAAACUAUUUUCAUGUUGAUACCGUGUCUUUAUGAUUUCGGCUACUUAAAGCAGCUACCAAAAGUGGAGCACCAUACUGGUAAGUUGGUAAUCAAGAUGAAAGGAUUGCAUAAGGCUAUAUUAUUGUCUUGAAUUUCAAAUUUUAAAUUACAAAAAAAAUUAGGAGAAAACAAAAUACAAUAAAAUUGGGAGAAAACAAAAUACAAGAAUUUAACAAGAUAAAUACUACCCGCUAUGACACUCUCUAACAGCCUAGACAUAGACCAAAACUUUUAUUCAUCUGUGAAGAACUUGUGCUGUUAUCGCCUUUGGAAGUUAAAUGCCUUAAUGGCAAAGGCAAAUAUAAAUAAGAAAAGCACCGUAAACCCAACAAUCACAACUGCAACCACUCCAAGGAAAUCAUGUUUGAAUCCAAGGUAGUCAUCCAAGUAUUGUUUCACUGUUACAUUUGAGUCAAGUAGUGUGUCCUCGAUAUCUCCAAACUGUGAUGUAACCAAUCCAUACAAACUCCAUGCAACUGGACAGGCCCAAUAGUACCAUCUCCACCACACAGGAAUCCUCUGUAUUCAUCAUGUAAGAAAUGCAACAAAAUGAGAUCGUUUCUGUAUCCAUGUGCUAAAGAAAGUGGCAAUUUAAAGAAUUAUGGGUUGAGAGCACUUACAUUUCGUGGGACUAUAAAACCUGAGAAGAGGUUCCAUAAUGUAUAAAAUGCUAAGGCAACGAUGGCAGCAAUAUGUUGAUUUGGUGUGGCAGCCACAGCCAUCAUGCCAUAAAAGGUGAAGUACAGUAAGGUGAAGAACAUGAAGAACAGAUACCAGAAGAACUUAGCAGCUGUCCAUUCAAAUCCAAUCAUUGCAUAAACUAUAACACCAUACGCCACAGCUUGUGAAAAGACAUAAGGUAUCUCAACUAAAGCCUGAAAGAAGAGAUGAAAUUUGAUUAAUAAAACCCAUAAAGUAUUAGAGAUAUACGAAGUCUAUAGCAUAAGAAAACUAAUUACCUGUGCAAAGGCAUAUGGCAUGGCUGAAUACAUUCCUGCAGCUCUUUCUCUGUAAAAGACUGUCCGUUCAACUGCCACGACUGGUUGCACCGAUUGGCCAUUCUGAAACCCAAGGAAGAGAACAGCGGCAUACAUAGAGCCCAUUGCAUUAGAUAUAUCUUGUUGUCUUGUCCUGCAUUUGCCAAUGUGAAGUAAAAAUUAAAGUUGAUAUGGAGAAGCAUACUGAGUUCUCAAAAUUCUGAACUGACUUCAAACUACCUUUUGGUGCCGAGAUCCCAGAACAUUGUCCCAAACAUCAAGGCUACGAAAGUUGUGAAGAAAAAUCUCACUGCCGUGUAUGGUGGAUUUCGCCAGUAUGACAAACGUUGUUUCCAUAAGCAUGCCAUACACUGGGUGAAGAAGGACUGGGAGUAUUGAGUAGGGAAAUAGAGGUCCUUAGAACCAGGGGUAGGUUGGCUCAAUUCUUUAAUUAAAUCUUUGUUUCUCCUGAAACAUAUGCCACAUCUUAGAAAAGGCUUCAACAACAAAUUCAAGCUUGCAUGAUGAACUUUGAAAUGGCUGUAUAUGACAUUUCAAUAUCAUAAAGCAUUCAGAUAUCCUAUAGUUGAAUCACCUGUAUAUGUCUGACUUUUCGUAUAUUUCGGUGAAAUCCACCCCCAAAAUUAAUUCUUGUGCAGAAGCGGUAACUUCCAACAUCCAAGUUGCAGGGUUAUAACCAUCUUUGAUUUUACUUACUCCUUCAAUUCCCUUAAUGAAAGCAAGUCACAUGUAUUAGUAAGCACUUUAUAUGAAUUAACUUAAACUAAAGUAUUUGCUGCUUAUAGCUUUUAAUUUAUCAUGGAAGUUUACCUCAAAAUACUUUAUCAGAUGGGAAGAAUGUCUACCCAGUGGUCCCAUAUAUAUCUCUUGCCCUCCACGCUUCAACAGGAGCAACUGCAAACCCAUUUUGAAUAUGUCAGUACUUAUAUGCAGGAGAGCAUAGAAGAGAAUAAAUCCUUUCUAUCCAUUAACAUUUCCCACCUCAUCAAAGGCAUCAAAGAUGUCAAUACUUGGCUGAUGGAUGGUGCACACAACUGUUCUUCCUGUGUCCACUGUGUUCCUGACUGUUCUCAUAACAAUUGCAGCAGCUCUUGCAUCUAGCCCUGAAGUUGGCUCAUCCAUGAAUAUUAUUGAGGGAUUUGCCACAAGCUCAACUGCAAUGGUCAGCCUCUUGCGCUGCUCGAUUGAGAGACCAUUUACACCUGGCAACCCAACUAGUGCACCCCUCAAUGGGGUCAGUUCCACGAGGUCCAUGACUUCCUCAAUGAACAUCUAUAACCAUUACCAAAGAUUAGAAAUUGUUUGAACCAGCACUUUUCCUCAAGAGUAUAGGUCAAGCCAAACUUGAACCUGACCAUAGCUCAACCAAGUUUGAAAAAUCAAUUCUAGGGCUUUGCUUGUUCAGAGCACUAAAUUCAAUAAGAAAAAUGUGGAAACAACACAGAAAACUCUCACCUUUCUUGUUUCAGCAUCCACAUUAGGAGGCAAUCGCAGCCAAGCUGAGUAGAGCAAGGACUCAUGGACAGUAACAUGAGGAGAGUGGAUGUCAUUCUGCUCACAGUAUCCAGAAAUGCGAGCAAAAGUCUCUUGCUUCUUUGGGUAGCCAGAAAUGCUGAUGCUACCCUCAAUAUAUCCACCAGUUUUCCGACCAGCCAAUACAUCCAUGAGAGUGCUUUUACCAGCACCACUAACACCCAUCAAAGCUGUAAGAACACCAGGCCUGAAAGCACCACUCACCCCCUUCAGAAGCUCCAAUCUGUCUUCAGGGACACCCUGACUUUUCAUUUCCUGCAAAUUCAAUUCAAACAACUUAGUUCUCAUUUUUGGUUUAUUAGUGCUGAUAAAACAUGUACAUUAUUUGCAUUAAUAUGAAGUUACCUCUGGCAUGUCAACUGAGUAUCUAAUAUCAUCAAAGGUGAUAGAAAGUGGUUGGAAUGGAAGAACCAUUCCUUUUUUGUUGUUACGUCUCGCCUCAGCAAUGGCUUCUGCCCUCACAGAAGAGGAUACGGAUGAGAUACUUCGCCCAAUUUCCUCUCCACUCUCUGCAUGUUAAGUUUAAAUUUAGAGAGCAAUAUAGAACAUGGGGUUAAAUGACAAGAACACAGGCACACAAAGGCAUGCAAGCACCAUGUAUGAGUUUCAUCACCUGUGGAUGCGGUUUGGUCAAUCGAGCCUUUUCUAUGGGACGAUAACUCAAUCUUUCCUUCAGUUUUGGCAUUGUCGGACUCUACUGUUAUAACAGCUCGAGGCUUCUCAAAUGCUGCACAAUUUGCAAAAAUCUUAAUACACUAACCUCCAAUAAUUUAGGAGUUUCAAUGCAGAGACGGUAAAGAUACUCACGAUUUAGGUAAGUCAGAGCCACAGUGUAACAGAAGUUGAAGACAAAUAUGAAUCCAAGCAGUGCCCCAGCUCCUAUCCAGUACCAGUGUGCCUCCGUGAAGAACCCACGAGCCUUCAAUACUGCUACUCCAAGGGAUUCUGUUGAAUUGGUAGAAGCAUUCUGAAAAAUGGAAAUACAUUCAAUCAUCAGUGACUGACACACAUAAAUAAACACAAAUACUCACAUGCAAAAUCCAAGAACUUACUUUGCUCCAACUCUUCCCAAGGAAUUCAUUUACCACUAUUGCGUUCUGUGCAUACAUCAUAGGGGAAGACCAGUAACCCCAAAUCCACCAUUUCUUGACACUUUCUGCAGCAUUGACCAAAUACAAAAAGAAAACAAAAAUCCAUUAUUAGUGUUUAUCAACAAGAAGGUUCUACAUUUCCUGAAAAUUUCUUUCCUCCUUAUACCUCGUGACAGGACAAAACCACCCAAUGCAAAGGGCAGAACUAAUGCAAAUGACCCAAAUGUGUUUGCAACAAUCAUGCUUCUACAAGCUGCUGCUAUAAAUCGAAAUAAUGAAGAUGCCGUCUGAUUAAGAAGCAAGAGGAGAAGAUACUGUCUAAACAAUCUGCAAUAAGAAGAUUUGUUUAUUGAGCAUAGAUCAUUUUGGAACAGAGAAAACAGGUGAAACAAAUCUGGACAAGUUUCUGCAACUUCAUAAGUUUUUAACUUUUACCUUCCCACAUUUGGAUCAAAUCCAAUGACAUAAUAAGUGAUGAAUACCCAAAGACCAACUUCAACAAAUGUGAUGGGGAUCUUGAGGAACCAUGAGGGAAGAGCAUAUGCCCAUGCAGGAUAGAAGAGCAGGCCUCUUUGCUUGUAAAAGACAGGAAGUUUUAGAAUGGUCAUGGCAAGUUCUGACAUUCCAUUAAACAUGACCUUCAUGACAGUGAAGAACAAAGCACCAGUGUAAAUGAUUCCAUCUUCUGUUGUGUUUUUGGGCAUCUCAGUUCUUAGGAAGAUUGUCAUUGCAAUCAUUGCGACUAUUGUGAGCUAAAAGCAGAAAUAAAAAUAAUAAAUUACGAUCAAAUGUACAAAAUUAAAAGCCAUUGUUAUAAGUAACAACAAUAAUAAUACUCACUUGGGUGAGCUUGAAAAUAUAGACAAAUGAAUUCCUCUUCAUCAGCAAGUACUCUCUUGAGAUGCAAGCAUCCAACAGUUCCUUCUUUCCAACACCAUAUUUUUCAGUUUUCAAAGCAGCCGGGUGGCUUUUGGUCUUGUCGAAUGGAGUUGCAAGCUCAUCUCCUAGUUUCCGUCCAAAGUGAAAUGACUGGAAUGCCUCAGCNNNNNNNNNNNNNNNNNNNNNNNNNNNNNNNNNNNNNNNNNNNNNNNNNNNNNNNNNNNNNNNNNNNNNNNNNNNNNNNNNNNNNNNNNNNNNNNNNNNNAUCUUUAUGUGCCCAAUACUGCUNNGAUCUUCCUAGAUGUUACUGCAAUCAAUUUUAAAAUUCGUGUUCUAGCUUGGUUUUUUCUAAAGAAGGGAAAAAAUGAGAAGAUGCCAAAAGGUACAAAGCUAUUAGCACUCACUUCUUGUAGGAAGUCUGCCACACCCUUCCUUUCAGGACAUCUGAACCCCAUGGAUUCAAAAAAGUUAAGAACGUCUUCACGAGGACCCUGAUAAAUGAUCCGGCUAUCAGAGAGAAGAAUGAUGUCAUCAAAAAGAUCGUAAGUCUCAGGUGCUGGCUGGAGGAGAGAGAUGAGAGCAGUCCCAUUGAGAAUGUGGACGGUUUGCCUGAGAGAAUUUACGAUUUGAUAAGUUGUUGAGCUAUCCAAGCCAGUAGAGAUCUCAUCCAUGAACAGUGCCUUUGAUGGUCCAACCAGCAUCUCACCUAUCAUUCAUAUAUUUUCAAAUAAUUGAACUAUAUUAGAUUAAUGAACAAAAAAUAUCUUCUUCUUCUUCUUUUUUCCUUUUUCAUGUUAGAACACAAAUUAUCCUACCAGUUGUGACACGCUUCCUUUGUCCUCCAGAGAUACCCCUCACCAUUUCAUCUCCUACCAUGGUGUCUGCACAGAUUUCUAGUCCCAGAAUCUGUAAAUUUAAGUGUAAAUGAAAAUAAACAAAUUAUGAGUUAGAACUGGGUUUUCUCAGAAAUCUGUAUUCCAUCAUUGAAAGUUUUAUGGUUAUGAUACCUUUAGUGUAUAAUCAGUGAUCACAUUCUCCUUCUGGCCUUCAGCUGCCGCUGCCUGAAAUGUUAGAAACCAAUAAUGAAAAUCUCAACAACCAUUAAAGUUAGUUUGGUACAUCAAGAUAUUCCAUGGAUAAGAUCGACAGAACAUCAAGAAAACAAAGUCAAUUUGCAUAUCUAUGUGAGAGAUCAAAAUUUUCAUUCUAGAGAAGACAAGUGUCCAUGUUCUCCACGAAAAACAAAUAGCUGAUCAAUUUCACAAAGUAGCUUCUGUCUCACCUUCAUGAAGACAUCGAUAUCAGGAUCGGGCUUUAUAUUUGCUGCUUUCUCUCUUCUUGAGAGCUCUACUAACAUGUCUGCAGAUAGCCAAAAUAAGAGUCAAUCUCCUGGCCUAGGCAAAUGUCAUACAACUACAUCCACAACCUUCAAAAACAAAGAAAAUAAAAGUGAAGGCAAUGGUUUAGACUAACCAUAUCGAUCUCCAACACCCUGGCAUCUUGCAGAGAAGGCCAAGGUUUCCCGUACAGUCAUUUCUCCUAUAUGGGUAUCAAGUUGGCUUAUGUAGGCGGCAGUUCUCUGGGGUACAAACUCAUUCAUGCCAUGACCGUUGUAUGUCACCCUUCCCGUAACCUAAACAAGAAAUUUCAGUUUUCAAAUUGGAUAUGAGAUUAAAGUGCUAAAAAUUGCAUCAAAGAAGAAAAGCAAUAAGAGUUUUUUUUUUUUUUUUUUCCAUUCAACCUUUAGACUGGAAUCAAGCUUUCCGGACAAAGCCAAUAAGAGAGUGGUCUUUCCAGAACUUGGAGGACCCAAAAGCAACGUCAUUCUGCAGAAAAAAAAUUAUGCACAAAAAAUUGAGUAUUGAUCUUCAGGGCAUUCUAAAUUUGAGAAAGGAAAAAAUCAUUUGAUUUAUCAAUCAAUUUUUUACUAGAAAUAAAUUCAAAUUCUCACCUUCCGGGUUUGAUGAUUCCGCUAACAUCAUGAAGAAUGGUGAAUUUCUUCUUUCUACUUGGAAGAAUUCGAAGAGUGUUCAAGAUAUCCUUUAAAACAGAAAGAAAAAUUAUAAUCUAAAAACAAACUUUCCCAAGAGAGUACUUAUUGAUUAGCUAAUGAUCUGCAUUUUCAUUUUAGUUACCUCAAUUUGAUUAAAAACAGAAUUAAUGAAUGAAGGCAAAGCUCUGCUUCCUACAUGAGCUUCUGCAUCAAUGGUAAGAUGCUCAAAUCUAACUUCAAUUUCGGGAAGAUCAAUCCCAACUCUGAAAAAUGGAAGAGCCACGAAAACUCGUUAUUAAAAAGUCAAAGGAAGAUGUUGUUUGGUUGCAAAGAAAAUAUAGGAAACACUAUCAGGCAUACUUAAGAUGAAUUCUUUCUUUUCCACUGUUUUCAAUGUUCAAAAAGAGGCAAGGAGCGCAAGAAAAGAAGAGAAAUCGCACCUAUCCAUACGAUUCUUGAGCUUCAACAAGAACUUCUCAUUGUCCUCUUCAGCGAUUUUCACCAACCGCUCGACUAAAUUCUUCCUUUCCUGAGGCCCAAGGUUGUGUAUAUCAACUUCACUGGCCUCACCCUCUGAUCCGAUCAGCAAACCUUUCCUCAGCCGAUUGUAGGUGGGAAGUUUCUCGAGGGCAGCCCAUUUCAAAGCUUCCUCAUCAUCCUCAUCCCUUGAAGAACGGGAGAAAACCUCCGCACCAGAGUUCCUCCAUAUGGAAGAACUGUUCUUCUUGAAACUACCACUGGCUCUACGACCACUGGCUGUAUAAAUUUCAGCUGUUUCCAUUGCAACACGAAACGAGGAACCCCCCUGCAAAACUAACCAGAACCCACCAAAACCCAGAAAUUUUUCCAAAAAAUCAGGAGAAGCCCAAGUUUUGAUCUCUGGAGCUGAAAAAAACUCAGAGAUGGGUGUCCUCCCCUCUUUUCUCUAUGCACUUUGUAGUGCUAAAACCUUGUUCUAUGUUAGAAAACCAUGAGGAAUGGAAGGUUUAUAUACUGGUUCGAAGGACAGAAUCAGAGGCGGCCUAAAAGUUUCAAAUUCUUAUUUUAACAUUUUCACAAUUCUCCACUAUCUUGUUUGUCAAGUAAAUGGAAAAGUGAAUUAUUAAAUGUUGUCCUAACCGCAAACUAACUAACUUUCCCGGGCCAAACUAACUAAAUUCCAAAUGUAAAACAUUUAUGGCAUCUUGUUUAUACUCUUGUUUAAUGAUAUGAUACUUUCGGUUUAGUUUGCCUGAAUUAAAAAUGUAAGUUAAUUUUUAACAUUUCAUUUAUAACCUAAUUUAAUGUUGAUAUAUUGAAUUUGGAUUACUUCUUUUAAUCUCAGAAUUUAUUAAGAUUAGAUCGGAGUUGAGUUAAUAGGCCUCGAGUUAAUUUAAAUUAUAUUCAAGGAAAGAGUUAAGUAAACUUUAAUAAGUGAAUGAUGAAAUUUUUUAUUUCUAAAUUAUAUGUAAUAUAAUCAAAUAUAUGUCUCGUUAUUACGAGUUUACAAGUAACCCAAUAGGCAUAAGAAUUAUUGAAGGUUGGCCCAACAGCCCCUUUUGACCCUUCAAAUGACUGCCCUUGUCAUUUUCAGCUUUACUCACCCUUGUCAACCAGCAAGCAACUCACUAGGAAUAGGAAUUAUCAAAUUAAGUAACUUUGCCACAAGCAGCCCCAACCCCACCCCCAAACCCCCAAACCCCCACCCCCCACCCCCCACCCACCACCCAACAUAUUUUUUUGGCAAUUUUUGUUAAAUCUAAUUUAAUAUUUUGAUAUUUGGAUUACCUAAAUUAGAAAUGUAAGUUAAUUUUUAGAAAUUUGUUUGUAGUCUAAUUUAAUGUUGAUUAAACUCGAGUAAGUUUAAAUUAGGAUUAAAUCUAUUUAAGGAUGGUGUUAAACAAAUGAGGAAACCUAAACCUUAAUUAAGUGGGUUAUUAGAAAAAAUAUUAUGGUAUUAAUUAUUUCAUGAAUUUGUAUAUCUUAAAAUUAGUUAAUAAUACCCCUCAUUAUUAUUCAAUAAAAGUGGCCAAUUCUAUGGUAAAGAAUAAAAAUAUUAAAAACAUUAGUAAAAGAUGUUUUAGACUUUACUAAAAAAAUAAGUUAAAAGACUUUUUCAAAAGAAUUUUAAAAAGUAUUUAAACUCCCCGCUAAGAUAUUUUAAUAAAUCAUUUUUUUUUUUACCAAGUCAAUGGAAAUUUGAAUUAUUAAAUGUUAUCUAACUACUAGAUAAAUUAAUAAGUUGUUUGACAAUUAUUUUUUGAGAACUAUUUUUUUAUUUUAUCUUUAAGUUGUUUUCACUUAUUUUUUAAAAUUUGUUUUAAAAAAUAACUAUACAGAAAAAUGAUUAAAAAUAAAGUACUAAAUAUAAAAAAAAUCAUUUUUAAAAAAUAUUAAAAACCAUUUAAAAUAUUUUAAAUUCUCAAAUAAACUUUUGUUUUAUAAAACAUUAAAAAAUAAUUUUUAAAAACUGUUCUUAAAAACUAUUUUUCAAAAUUAUUUUUUAAAACAAUUACAAAAUGGAUCCUAACUUUAUUUGCCUGAGUGCAAAUCUACCUAAAUUGUAAAUGUAAAAUACUUUUUUGGCAAUUUAUUUAUAAUUUAAUUUUAAGAUUCCAUACUUUGGGUUUUGAAUUACCACUUUUAAUCUCCCAACUUUUUAGAGUAGGAUUGGAUUAGCUGAAUUUGACUCUGCUUAGAGUUAGGUCCCGGGUGGUUUUCGACUGGCUCAUACUCUCCUAAAUUAUAAAUGUAAGUACAUUUUUUGGUACAUUUCCUUUUCUUUUUUUUUUUUUUAAAAACAAAAUAUCUUAUAUGAAAAAAAAAAAAAGGAAUUCUUGUAUAAAAGCUAGUUAUAUACCUUGUAUAAAAAUUUAAGUAAUUUUACUUCCACAAAUUUUCUAGGUUUUGAAAAGAAUUUUUAGAAAUACAAGGUAAAUUUUACCUUUUUAUAUAAAAGUUCUUAUAUUUUAUAUAGAAAUUCUUAUUUUUAAAAAUAAAAAAUGUACCUAAUCACCACCUAAAUUAUUUUUCACCAUUUUUUUAUACUAUAAUCUAAUGUUUAUGAUCGAAAUCUAGUGUUUGUAGUUAAGUUUGUAUUGAAGUUUAGUCAACAUAUUCAUGGAUGAAGCUAAACUAAUGACAGAAACUUUAUUUAAGUGAGCAAUUAGAACAAUUAUGAGGGUAAUAAAUAAUUGAUAAAUUUUCAAAAUUUAAAAUUUGUUAACAAUUCCCCUCAUUAUUAUAAAAAAUAUAUAUACAAUUAUAGAGGUUAAUUAUAAAAAAGAAAGAAAAUAUAUGAUAUAUCAAACUGAAUAAAAAUAAUAUCAAACAUAUUGGUAAAAAUAUUUUUGUUUUUCAAAAAAAAAACAUCCAAAAAAUUAAAAGGUUUUUUUUCAAAAGAAUUAAAAAAUAGUUAAAAUUUUCAAUAAGAAAUUUCUAAUAAUUUUGUUUUAACAAAAAUAGAAAAUCAACAAUUCCACUUAUAAAUUUCUUCUAUUUUUCAAAUAGCUAAAGAUAAAUUGAGUGAGGAAACUAUUUUUUUUAUGAAGUAUAUAUAAUAUAGUAAAAAUAUCAUAUUAAGUUAUAUAAUUUUUAUAAUUAAAGUUAAAUUCAAAUUCUCAUAAUAUAGUCAUUAUAUGAGAUUUGAUAUGAUGAUAUUUAUAAAAUCGAUGAGAUUGAUAUUCAAAUAUUUCUUUUUAAAACAUACUGAUUUAACUCUACAAGUGGUACCACCACCCAUAUAAAUUAAUAUUAAUUACAAACUUCCAUAAUACAAAUCAUUGCAUAGGAUUAGAUUUAUUAAAAAUUAAAUAACAUAUAAAUUUAUAUAGCUUUGUAGUAAAUUCUAAAUUAGUGAUUAUUUCAUUAAAUCUAAAAAAUAAAAGUAAAAUGACCAAAUCAAUCUGCAAAAAAUUCACCACUCAAAAUAAUUUAAUAAAAUGUCAAAUACUAAUAGAAUUUUUUGAGGGAUGAGGUUUAGAAAAAUCAAAUUUAGCUUUUUCUAUUUGAAAAAACCUCAUUUUCAAGGGAAGACAUUAUUAAAUCCUCCUUGAUGAUGGUAAAGUUAGGGAAAGAAAAAGAAACAACAAAUCUUAAUAUGAUGUUUCAGGGAACCCUAUCUUCAAUGAAUCAAACUAGUUUUAUGGGGCCUAAUUGACUGGAAGUUCUUAUUUUCAUUUGUCCAAAUAAAGAAAUAUUCAGAAACUGAAAAUCUUCUUUCCUAUCACAGUUCUGAACAAUCAAAGCAACUAUUAAUAAAAAAAAAACACUCAGAAUAUGACAGAUUUUGAACUAAAUAUCAUCUCGAUUCACCUACUCAAGAAAUUUGAUGAGUUUUUGAGCUUGGAAGAGUCAGGUCAAAUCCACAUGUCUGCAAAUUUGGAAGGCAGUGAUUCUACAAUUCAAAGCAUAACUGCUUCAUUUGGAUAUGAUCAUCAGGAUACCACUGUAUGAGCACCAAACUAUUUACAUUGAAUGAGUUGAAUACUAGGAAAACUGAACUACUUCUCUUCAUGGGUCAAGCAUAUCAGUAGAAAUGGGAUCUGAAAGCGCAGGCAUGGAACUACCUCUGAACUUUCUGAAGAAGGCCAAAACUUUUCUUUUUGUUAGCUCAAGUCUAAAUUUAAGAGCAUUUUAAACCCUGCCCCGUCAUACACACUUGUUGGUUUUGAAACCAUACCAUUUUCAUGCUGAUACCUGUCUUUAUGGUUUCAGCUGCUUAAAGCAGAGACUGAAAGUGGAGCACCAUACCGGUAAGUCGGUCAUCAAGAUCAAAGGAUUGCUGGUCACACUAGACAGGCGAAGCAGGUUGAGAAAUGCAUAGUUGUCGAAGGACAAAUUGCAUCCAGGUAAUUUCAGCGACAGUAAUAGGAAGACCAUGAUAUUCGGACUCAGCACUACUUCGUGAGAUAACUCUUUGUUUGGUAGACGACCAUGACACCAGAUUGGAGCCAAGGAAGAUGUAAUAGCUGCUAGCGCUUCCACGAUCGUUUGGGAAUUAUGCCCAAUCCGCAUCUGUGUGGGAUUGGAUGUCCAGAGAGGACGAGGGAUGCAGUAUCAGUCCGUGGGGGGUGGUGCCUUUAAGGUACCUGAGGAUCCUUUUUACACCAAGCCAGUGCAUGGUGGUGGGACGAGCCAUGAACUGACAUGCUUUAUUGGCUGCAAAUAAGAGAUGAGGCCUGGUGUUGGAAAUGUAUUGGAGGGCUCCCACUAUGCUGCGGUACAAUAAGACAUUCGAAAUGGUUCUCCAUCAGACUCAGAUAGGGUUGUGCCAGUGGCUCCAGGUGUGGUAGUAGGCUUGGAAUCCAACAUAGUCGUUCAAGUGAGAAGAUCACAGAUGUACUUAUGCUGAUUGAGAUGUUGUAAUGCAUUGGCAUGAGUGACCUCUACACCCAGAAAGUAGUUAAUAUGACCAAGGUCUCUAAGGGCAAAUGUUGUUUUGAGAUAUUGCAAAAAUGAGAACACCUGAGGAGGAUUGCUGCCUGUAAUUAAUAUACCGUCAACAUAGAUUAAAAGGAGUAUGGUAGCAAUUGAUGUAUGAAGGAAGAACAGAGAAUUAUCAGCCUAUGAACAAGUGAAGCCCCAGCUGAGAAGUGCUGUUCGAAGUCUGAGAAACAAGGCAUGAGGGGCCUGCUUGAGGCCAUAUAAAGCUUUGUUCAAGCGACAAACAUGAGAUGGAUAUUGCGGAUCUACAAAAUCUGGAGGCUGCUGCAUGAACACUUGCUCACGGAGGUCGCCAUUGAGGAAGGCAUUUUAAUUUGGACAUCCAGUUGUCUAAUUGGCCAACCAGAGGAGAGAGCUAUGGUGAGGACUAUGCGAAUGGUGGAUGCCUUGACUAUUGGACUGAAUGUUUCGAAGUAAUCUAGCCCAUGUGUUUUGCAACACGGCGAGCUUUGUAGCGAUCAAUGGUCCCAUCUGGUUUAUAUUUGGGUUUAUAGACCCAUUUGCAACCAAUGAUAUGUCCAUGUUGAGGAGCUGGAGCAAGAGUCCAGGUGUUGUUGCGGAUGAGGGCAUUGUAUUCAGAUGUCAUAGCUUCUUUCCGGUUGGAAUUUUUGAGUGCUUGGUGAUACGUUCGAGGUUCAAUGAUUUUCGGUGCAAAGAACAAUAUGGGUUUGAGGUUACCAAUUUUUUAUCGAGUGAGCAUGAGGUGGGUGUUAGCUGGUUUGGUGAAGAGAGUCUUGGACUGUAAUGCUAAAAGUGAAGAGUUAGUAAAUGGUGCCUGAAUAAUGGAGGGAAUAAAGUGGUUAAAGAAGGAAGGACUGGUUAUAGCUAGUUGGGGAAUGGGUCGUUCACGGGACUGGGUGGUGGUGGAUGAGAAAAGGGUUGGGAAAUGAUGAAGAGGGCUGGAAUAAGGAAUAGCUGAGUGAGGGCUUGAGGACAGGAUGGGAGAGGGCUCGAAGAGUGGUUAUAUUUGAAAUGAGAAGAUGGUUUCAUUGAAAACUACAUGACGGGUGAUGUAGAGGCGACUGGAUAAGAGGUCCAUGCAUAUGUAGCCUUUCUAAAAUGAGCUAUAACCCAGAAAUACACAUUGGACUAAUCGAUAUUGGAGCUUAUGGUUAUUGUAUGGUCGAAUGUAUAGGUAGCAAAGACACCCCAAAUACUUUAGACAUUGUAUAAUCUGGAGGAUGGCCAAAUAGAACUUGGAAAGGGGAGUUAAGAUUUAGGAUUUUGGUAGGUAGUCUGUUAAUAAUAAAUGUUGCAGUUUGGAAGGCAUACAACCAGAACUUCAAGGGUAAAGAGGCUGUGGCUAAGAGGGUUAGCCCGUUUCAACAAUGUGGUGUAUUUUACAUGCAGACCUGCCAUUUUACUCCGGAGUGUGGGGACAUAAACAUCGGUUUAUAAUUCCUUGUUGAGUAAGGAAGGGAGCGAAGGCCCUAAACUCUCCUCCAUUGUCCUAUUGGAGGCAUUUGAUUGUGGAACCAAACUGUUUCUCUACUAGAAUUUUAAACUUCAUGAAUGUAGGUAAGCUUGAUCCUUAGUGUGUAAGGGAUACGGCCUGGAAAAUCUUGAACAAUCAUCAACAAAUAACAAGAAAUAUCGAGCACCAAUAGAGGCUGGAAUGGGUGACGGUCCCCAAAGAUUAGUGUGUAUAAGAUCAAGGAUAUUAGAAGCUUUAAUUGGACUCAGAAAGUGAAAAUGGUAAUUUGUGGCUUUUUCCAUAUUGACAAGCAGUACAUAUAGUAGAAUUAUUGGUUUCAAGAGUUUGAGAAUGUUUGCAACAGGAUGUCCCAGCCUAGCAUGCCAGAGAGUAAACUGCUCAGUUCUUGUGGUAGACGCAGGAGUGUGAGACGCAGUUGUGAGGAAGGUUGAGGAUGACCUUGGUGUUAUGAAGUUCAUACGGAACUUAUAGAUACCAUUUUCAAGAUUGUCGUGGAGUAGAGUUUUCUUCAUGAGGUGGUUCUUCACAAGAAAGGGACGAGGAUAAAAGUCAAAGAAAGAAUUAUUGUCAUGGCAGAAUUUUGAGACGCUCAUAAGAUUUUGGCAAGUUUGGGAACAUGAAAUACUUUGUUUAACUGAAAAGUCUUAAAUGAAGUAGGUAGGAAUUUAGAACCAAUAAGAAGAUAGGAAGCCUCUUACCAUUGCCAAUGAUGACUAUAACUAGAAAUGGGAUCUGUAAGUGCAGGCAUAGAACCUCUGAACAUUCUGAAGAAGGCCAAAACUUUUCUUUUUGUUAGCUCAAGUCUAAAUUUAAUGACAUUUCUCUCAUACACACUUGCUGGUUUUGAAACCAUACUAUUUUCAUGCUGAUACCUGUCUUUAUGAUUUCAGCUGCUUAAAGCAGAGACUGAAAGUGGAGCACCAUACCGGUAAGUUGGUCAUCAAGAUGAAAGGAUCGCAUAAGGUUAUAUUAUUCUCUUGAAUUUAAAAUUUCAAAUCACAUACAAAUGGGAGAAAACAAAAUACAAGAAUUUGACAACAUAAAUAUUACCUCCUCAUAGCAGGGCUAUCGAUACUCUCUAACAGCCUAUACAUAGAACAAAACCAUUUUUUCAUCUUUGAAGAACUUGAGCUUUUAUCGCCUUUGGAAGUUAAAUGCCUUAAUGGAAAAGGCGAAGAUAAAUAAGAAAAGCACCGCAAACCCAACAAUCACAGCUGCAACCACUCCCAGGAAAUCAUGUUCGAACCCAAAAUAGUCAUCCAAGUAUUGUUUCACUGUUACAUUUGUGCCAAGUAGUCUGUCUUCGAUAUCUCCAAACUGUGCUGUAAUCAAUCCAUACAAAGUCCAUGCAACUGGACAUGCCCAAUAAUACCAUCUCCACCACACAGGAAUCCUCUGCAUUCAUCAUGGAAGAAAUGCAACAAAAUGAGACAGUUUCAUAUCCAUGUGCUAAACAAAGUUCCAAUUUAAAGAAUUAUGGGUUUAGAGCACUAACAGUUCCUGGGACGAUAAAACCGGAGAAGAGGUUCCAUAAUGCAUAAAAUGCUACAGCAAUGAUGGCAGCAAUAUGCUGAUUUGGUGUGGCAGCCACAGCCAUCAUGCCAAACAAGGUGAAGUAUAAUAGGCUGAAGAACGUAAAAAAAAAAUAUACCAGAAGAACUUAGCAGUUGUCCAUUCAAAUCCAAUCAUUGCAUAAACUAUAGCACCAUAAACCACAGCUUGCGAAAAGACAUAUGGUAUCUCAACUAAAGCCUGAAACAAGAGAUGAAUUUUGAUUAAUAAAACGCAUAAAGCAUUAGAUAUAUACAAAGUCUAUAGCAUAAGAAAACUUGUUACCUGCGCAAAGGCAUAUGGCAUGGCUGAAUACAUUCCUGCAGCUCUUUCUCUGUAAAAGACUGUCCGUUCAACUACCACGACUGGCUGCACCGAUUGGCCUAUCUGUAACCCAAGGAAGAUAACAGCAGCAUACAUAGAGCCCAUUGCAUUAGAUAGAUCUUGUUGCCUUGUCCUGCAUUUUCCCAUGUGAAGUAAAAAUUGAAGUUGAUAUGGAGAAGCAUACUGAGUUGUCAAAAUUCUUAACUUAAAUCAAAUUACCUUUGGGUGCCGAGAUCCCAGAACAUUGUCCCAAACAUCAAGGCUAUGAAAGUUGUGAAGAAAAAUCUCACUGCCGUGUAUGGUGGAUUGCGCCAGUAUGACCAACGUUGUUUCCAUAAGCAUGCCAUACAUUGGGUGAAGGACUGGGAGUAUUGAGUAGGGAAAUAGAGGUCCUUAGAACCAGGGGUAGGUUGGCUCAAUUCUUUAAUUAAAUCUUUGUUUCUCCUGAAACAUAUGCCACAUCUUAGAAAAAGCCUCAACAACAAAUUCAAGCUUGCAUGAUGAACAUUGAGAUGGCUGUAUAUGACAUUUCAAUAUCAUAAAGCAUUCAGAUAUCCUAUAUUUGAAUCACCUGUAUAUGUCUGAGUUUUUGUAUAUUUCAGUGAAAUCCACUCCCAAAAUUAAUUCUUGUGUAGAAGUGGUAACUUCCAACAUCCAGGUUGCAGGGUUAUAACCAUCUUUGAUUUUACUUACUCCUUCAAUUCCCUAAAUGAAACCAAAUUAAUCCUUCAUAAUGUACCAAAUUUUAUAAAGGAAGUACUAAAUUUUGUCAAGGACGUACCAAAUUUUUUAAAGGAUGUACCAAUGUUGCCAAAGUCCGUUAUGAGGUGGGGAACGACCUUCAAUAACUUCCUGAAGGUCUCCAAAUGAAGAAAUGGACUAUGGAAAUGGAGAUAAGUGUUCCAUUAGCUCAAGGAUUGGAUGUAUUAAAUUUUCUCAAUGAUGUACCUAGGGUUCCAAAGUCCAUUUCGGAGUAGGGAACGAUUUCCAAUCACUUCCCAAAGAUCCCUAAAGGAAUAAACAGACCAUGAGUAAUAAGAUAGAGAUUUCAAUAGCUCAAGUAUGUACCAAAUAUUUUUAAGAAUAUACAAAAUUUUAUAAAGGAUGUACCAAGAGUGCCAAAAUUUGUUUCGAUGUGGGGAAUGACCUUCAAUCACUACCUAAGGGUCCUCAAAGGAUAAUAUGGACCAUGGGAAGAUAGAUAAGGGCUUGAUAGCCUGAGGAUUGGAUGUACCAAAAUUUCUUAACGAUGUACCAAAUUUCCUUAAGGAUGUACCUAGGGUUCCAAAGUUCGUUUCUAAGCAGGGAACGACCUCUAAUUACUUCCUAAAGAUCCCUAAAGAAAUAAACAAACCAUGGGUAAUAAUAUAGAGGUCCUGGUAGCUCAUGGAUUGGAUGUACAAAAUUGUUUUAAGGAUGUGCCAAAUUUUAUAAAAUAUGUACCAAAUUUUAUAAAUGAUGUACCAAAUUGUCUUUAGGAUGUACCUUGGGUUCCAAUAUCAGUUUUAGAGUGGGGAAUAACCUCUAAUUCCUUCUCAAGGGUCCCCAAAUGAAUAUAUGAACCAUGAAAAUGAAAAUAGCGGUUUUAGUUCCUCUAAGAAUUGAUAUACCUAGGAUCCCAAAGUUCUUUUUGGGGUGGGCAAAAACCUCCAAUUACUUAUCAAGGGUCUUAAAAGAAUAUAUACACCUUGAUAAGUAUGAUAGUGUUUUCGGUUUUCCUAAGCAUUAAUUUACCUAUAUUUUUUAAGGAUGUACCUAUUUUUAUUAAAUUAAUAUAAAAGGCUAAAUUCAAUUUUUUAUGAAAAAUAUAUUUUCUUUUAUAUUUUAUUUUAAUUAAAAAUUAAAGAUUUUAACCAAAAAAAAAAAAUUAGAUCCAUAAUCAAUUUAAAAUCAUAAGAAAAAUGAUAUAAGCACCGUCACUUAUUGUGAUUUUGAUAUGAUAAAUUUAAAAUGAAAAUUAAAAGAAAAAUAAUGUAAAUAAUAAAAUAGUAUUACAAUGAUAUUUUUACUUUUACAUGUGAUAGAAUUUACAAAAUAAAUAAAUCUUUUGUUUAGUUUUAAUAUAAAAAAUCUUAUAUCUAAAUAAUAAAAUGGAAUUUUUAAAUUUAAACCUUAAUUUAUAAAAUGUAUUAUUAUAAUUAAUAUUUAAAAUCAUUGUUAUUUGUGGGAUAAUAUUUUCAUUUUUGUACAUUAUAUAUUUUGUUUUUAUUUAAUUUUUUAUAUUAAUUAUUUAUUAUACAUUAUCAUUUUAAGUUUAAUAUGUCAAAAAAAUAAUUAAAAUCAAUAAAUAUAGACAAAUUAGAGAGUAAAAAUAAAUUUAAAUUAAAUUAAAAAAUGCACGAGCAUAUUAAAAAGAAUAUAAAGGAAAAAAAGAAAAAUAAUAAUAAAAACUAUAAUAGGUGAUAAUGGAUUAUGGUGGCAGGAGAGGAAAAAAAAAAGUGGAAAUGUGACGAGUGGUAAGGGAGAUAUAUUGAUGUGAGAAAAAUAAUAAAAAUAAAUUACACAUGUACUUGUUAACAAGUUGUAUUAAAUUGAUGUAUACUUUGUCCUUUACUUUUAAGGGUAAUUAUGGAACAAAUUUGAAAGCACUAUUGGAGUGCAUGAAUAAACAAUAUUUUUUCUCAUUUUACACCAAAAUUAAAAAGAAAAAAAGUAAAGCUCCAAAAUCUCAUAUUUUUUGUAAUUGGUAUAUGGUUAGAUGAUUUUCCCUUUUUUUUAAGCUUGGGAUCAAAUGUGGAACCGAAGGUUGGACCCAUACACAUUAAGCAACCAUCUUUGAAAAACUUGUCCUCUGCACAUCUUAUCAUGUUUGGAAGUUAAAUGCAUUAACGGAAAAAGCAUAGUUCAAAGUCGCAAUAUCGGUUAUUGACUCGGAAAGUCAUGAGGCAUAUCAGUAUCGAUGUCUCGCUUCGAUAUCAGGUGAUACGUAAAAUAAGAUAAUUAAAAUUUUCAAAAAAUUAUAAAAUUAUUAUAUAAAUUAAAAAAUAAUAUAUAUAUCUAUAUAUAUAUAUAUAUAUAUAUAUAUAUAUAUAUAAUUAAUUAAAUAAACUAAAAAUUUUAAUAAAACAAAUUUUUUUCACAUUUAGCUCAAAGUUAUUUGUGAUAAUAUUAAAAUUUGAGGAUUUAAUUCUCACUUUGCCAUAUAAACACUUUAAUUUAUCAUUAAAUCUCAUAUAUACCUUUCAUAUCAUUUUACUUUAGCAAAUCGGGUACUCAAUUCUCUUAAUAUGUUAUUAUUAAAUCAUAUUAAAGUGUUUAUAUGAAAGGUAUUUUCCAUGUAAAUUGGGACUCAAUUCUCCAUGUAAAUCCGUAUAAAAGAUAGUUUUUUACUUUACUAAUUUGAGCUCCCAAUCUCCCACUCUCGCCACCGUUGCUGUCAAGACCCAUAACAGACCUCCCAAUCUCCCACCCUCACACGCCACCAUGCCGUCAAGACCCACAAUAAACGAUACCACCUGCAAUUGUAAAUUUGCAACCAUGUAAGACCUAACAUGGGAAGGGGAGCAAUCUGAUUGUGAGGGGGUUGUCUUGUCGACGUCGCCGAUGAAAGAUUCAGUCCACUUAACGAGUCACCACCGUCGACACCAAAGCUCCACCCUCUGGUGAUGCUCGAUUUUGAGGAAAAUCAGGUAAGUAAAUCCUAAAUCAUGUCCUCAUCCUUCGGUGGUUUCUCCACUUAUUUCCGAACAAAUCACGGUUUGGGUUUUUUUCUUCGUCUUCUUUGAUCUUCUCAUUAAUGGUUUAAAAUUUCAGAAUAGGUGUUUUCUUUUGAAAGGGCAAUGUUUGAUUAUUAUUUUUUUUAAUUUUAUGAAAAUUUUGAAAAUUCUUUGUAACCUCACCGAGUCAACCAAGUUAACUUGGAAACUCAGACAAGUCAAUCGAGUCUAACCGAUUCCCAGCCGAGUUCAUGCAUUAUACUGUAUCUGGUAUCAGUCUCGUCGCGGCAAGUAUCGAGGCAGAUACGACUUGGCUGAGUCAUACCGGACUCAGCUGAUACUUUGAACCCUGGGCAAAAGUGAAGACAACGAAGAAGAGCAAGGUAAAGCUAGUUAACAACCACAACUGCAAUCACUCCCUGGAAAUCAUGCUUAAAUCCAUAAAAAUAAUCCAAGUAUUGUACCACGGUUACAUUUCUAUCUGUUAGCAUCUCCUCUACAUCACCAAACUGUGAUGUAAUCAUUCCAUACAAGGUCCAUGCAACUGGAAAUAUCCAAUAGUACCAUCUCCACCACACAGGAAUCCUCUGGAAUCUAUCAGGGAAGAAAUGCAACACAAUGAAUCAUUUCUAUAUCCUUAUGAUAAUGUAAUUUGGAUUUGAGAAACAAUUAUAUAUGGGUUGAGAGUGCUUACGGUUCGUGGGACUGUAAAGCCUGAAAAGAGUUUCCACAAUCCAUAAAAUGCAGCACCAGUGACGGUAGCAACGUGUUGAUUCGGUGUAGCAUCCACAGCCAUCAUGCCAUAGAAGGUGAAGUACAACAAGGUGAAGAACAUGAAGAAGAGAUGUCAGAGGAACUUAGUGGCCAUCCAUUCAUAUCCGAUCAUUAAAUAAACUAUAAGACCAUAUACAACAGUUGUACAAAGAUAUAUGGGAUCUCAACAUAAGUCUGCAACAAGAGAUGAAAUUUUAGUAGGAAAUGACAUAAAAGUAAUACAGAUCUGCAAUGUCUAUAGCAUAAGAAGACUAGUUACCUGUGCGAAGGCAUAUGCCAUGGCUGAAUACAUUCCUGCAUCUCUUUCUCUAUAAAAGACUGUUCUUUCAACUACGACUGGCUUCACGGAAUGCGGAAUUUUGAAUCCCAAGGAAGAUAACAGCAGAAAACAUAGCACCUAUUGCAUUAUCCAAAUCUAUUGACCUUUUUCUGCAUUUUACAAUGAAGGUAUAAGUUAAAGUUGAUUUAGAGAAACGUAUGAAUUGGACUGACUUCCACUUACCUUCUAGUGCCGAGAUCCCAGAACAUUGUCCCAAGCAUCAAGGCUAUGCCAACUGUGAAAAGAAAUCUCACUGCAGUGUAUGGUGUGUUGCGCCAGUAUGACAACCGUUGUUUCCAUAAGUUUGCCAUGCGUUGGGUGAAGAAGGGUUGGCAGUAUUGAGUAGGGAAAUAGUGCUCCUUUGAACCGGGGGCAGGUUGGCUCAGUUUUUCAAUUAAAUCUUUGUUUCUCCUGAAACAUAUGCCACAUGUAAGAAAUGGCUUAAACAACAAAUUUAAGCUUUCAUGAGAAACCUAUAGUUGAAUCACCUGAAUAGGUCGGAAUUUUUGUAUAUUUCCUUGAAAUCAACCCCCAAAAAUACUUCUUGUGCUGUAGUGGUAACUUCCAACAUCCAAGUUGCAGGGUUAUAACUUUCUUUGAUUUUUACUGACUCCUUCAAUUCCCUUCACAAAAGGAAGUCAUAUGCAUCAGUAAGCACUUGAUAUGAAUUAACUCAAACUAAAGCAUCACUGCCAAUUAUUUUUGCUAUAUGCCAUGGCAACUUAACUCAAAAUACUUUAUCAAUUGGGAAGAAUGUCUACCCAGUGGUCCCACUUAUAUCUCUUGUCCUCCGUGCUUCAUCAGGAGCAACUGCACACCCAUUUUAAAUAAUUCAGUACUUAUCUGCCAAGGAUUAACAAGAGAAACCAUAAAUUAUUUCUGUCCACGAAAAAUUCCUACCUCAUCGAAGGCUUCAAAUAUGUCAAUACUUAGUUGAUGGAUGGUGCACACAACUGUUUUUCCUGUGUCCACUGUGUUCCUAACUGUUCUCAUAAUAAUUGCAGCAGCUCUUGCGUCUAGCCCUGAAGUUGCCUCAUCCAUGAAUAUUAUUGAAGGAUUUGCCACAACUCAACAGCAAUAGUUAGCCUCUUAUGCUGCUCAGUUGAGAGACCAUUCACACCUGGCAACCCAACCAGUGCUCCCUUCAAUGGGGUCAGUUCCAUGAGCUCCAUGACUUCGUCAAUGAACAUCUGUGACCACUAGCAAGGAUUAGAAAUUGUUUAAAAAACAAUGCAAAAUAAAAAAAAUAAAAAAGAAAAAAGAAAAAAUUCACACUGCUUGUGAUUCUUUUCUAAUAGCAGGUUGUGAACUUUGUCUUGUCUUGUUAAACCAAUCAGUUAAUUGAUGGAAAUGGCUCUUUUAUGCUUAAUAACACUUGCUUGCAUGAACUUCACCCAAUUGGAUUCUAGGACAAUGAAAUUUCGACCAACAUUUUUCCUUAGGUGAAGGUCAAGCCAAACUUGAACCUGAUCUUAGCCCAACCAAGUCAAGUUUGAAAAAUCAAUUCUAAAUAGGCUUAGCUUGUUGAGAGCGAUAAAUUGAAUAAGAAAAAUGUGGAAACAAGGAAACUCACCUUUCUGGCAGCAGAAUCCACAUCAGAAGGUAACCGCAGCCAAGCUGAGUAGACCAAGGACUCAUAGACAGUAACAUGAGGAGAGUGGAUAUCAUUCUGCGCACAGUAUCUAGAAAUUCGAGCAAAAGUUUCUUUCUUCUUUAGGUAGCCAGAAAUGGUGAUGUUACCCUCAAUAUAUCCACCAGUUUUCCGACCAGCCAGUACAUCCAUGAGAGUGAUUUUACCAGCACCGCUAACACCCAUCAGAGCUGUAAGAACACCAGGCCUGAAAGCACCACUCACCCCCUUCAAAAGCUCCAAUCUGUCUUCAAGGACACCCUAAUUCUUCAUUUCCUGCAAGUUCAAUUCAAACCACUUAGUACUCAUCUGCAGUUAAAACGUGUAUAUUGUUUGCAUAAAUUUGACAUUACCUGUGGCAUGUCAACUGAGUAUCUAAUAUUAUCAAAGGUGAUUGAAUGUGGUUGGAAUGGAAGAAGCGUUCCUUUUUUCUUGUUCUGGUUAGCCUCAACAACAGCUCUAGACCUCACAGCUGCAGAUGAGAUAACUUGCCCUCUUUCCUCUAGUCUCUCUGCAUGUUGAGCUCAAAUCUAAUUAGCCAUACAAGUUAAAAUGACAACAUAGGCACACAAAGGCAUGCAUACACCAUGUAUGAGUUUCCACCUAUGGAUGCAGUUUGGUCAAUAGAGUCAGUCUUGUCAUUAAUUCUCUUACUCUUCUAUUAUAAAAGCUUGAGGCUUAUCAUAUGUUGCAAGAUUUGUACAAAUUUUAAUAAACUAGAUCCAAUUCUUAUGAGUUCAAAGCAGAGAAGAUAAAGAUGCUCACGAUCUAGGUAAGUGAGAGCCAUAGUAUAACAGAUGUUGAAGUCAAUCAGGAAUCCAAUCUGUGCCCCAACUCCUAGCUAGUACCAGUAUGACUCUGUGAAGAAACCGUGAGACUUUAAUAUUGCGACUCAUAGGGAUACUUUUGAAUUUGUAGAUACAUUCUGAAAAAAAAAAAAAUUGUUCAAUCAUCAGCCAACUUUUGCAGACUGACAUAAGUAAACACAAAUAUUCACAUGGAAAAUUCAAGAACUUACAUGUCUCCAACUCUUCGCGAGGAAUUCAUUUACCAUUAUUGAGGUCUGUGCAUACAUCAGAGGGGAAGACCAGACACCCCAUUUCCACCAUUUCUUGAUAUUUUCUGCAGUACUCACCAAACACAAAAAGGAAACAAAAAAAUCAUUGUUAGGGUUUAUGCAGAAGAAGGUUCGACUUUUCCCAAAAAAAAAAAAAAAAAACUUGCCUCAUUAUACCUCGAGAUAGGACAAAACCACCCAAUGCGAAAAGUAGAAGUGUUGCAAAUGACCCGAAUGUGUUUGCAACAAUCAUGUUUCGACCGGUUGAUGCUAUAAGUCGGAAUAAUGCAGAUGCCAUCUGAUUAACAAUCAAAAGAAGAAGAAGAUACUGUCUAAACAACCUGCAAUGAGAAGAUUUGUUUUAUAGAGAAAACAUGUGAAACAAAUUUCGACAAGUUUCUACAAAUUCCUAACUUGUAACUUUUACCUUUCCACACAUGGAUCCAAUCCGAAGACAUAAUAAGCAGAGAACACCCAAACACUAACUUCACAAAAUGUGAUUAGGAUCUUGAGAAUGAUUGUGGGAAGAGCAUAUGUCCAUGAAGGAAAGAAGAAUAGGUCUCUUUGCUUGUAAAAGACAGGAAGUCUAACAAUGGUCAUGGCAAUUUCUGAUAUUCCAUUAAACAAGAUCAUGAUCACAGUGAAAAACAAAUAACCAAUGUAUAUGAUUCUGUUGAAUGACAUGUCCUAGGAGUCGUUGACAUGGAGCUGAGUAGAUUGAAGUGGAAGUAGUCAAAUAAGUUAGUCAUGUGGAAGAUUUACCUAUUCCUUAGGAAGUAUUUGUUGGUUUGUUUCUAUUUUUUAGGAAGUAUCUAUAAGUAGCAAGUUUGUUGCUAUUUUUUAUGUUUUUCUUUUUUAAGCUAGCUGUAUAAAUAAGUGUUUUAAAGCUUAAUAAAAAAUUACUUCAGAUUCCUCAACGUUCUAUUGCUUCCUGAGAGUUUCUACACUUUGUUUCUAUCAAAACCCACAAAUUGUAUCAGAGCCAGGUUCUUGAGUAACCUGUGAGCCGAUGCACCACCAUCUACCCUAUUUACAGAAAGUAUCCAGAAUGACCUCAGAAGCUUCAUUGAAUGCACUAGCACCUCUAGUGUUUGAUGGAAUAAAUUAUCAAGUGUGGGUUGUUCGUAUGGAAGCCUACCUUGAUGCUAGUGAUCUGUGGGAAGCUGUUAGUGAGGAAUAUGAAGUUCCUCCCCUAUCCGACAAUCCAACUAUGGCUCAAAUAAAACUACACAAUGAGAGGAGGCAAAGGAAAUCAAAGGCAAAAGCUAGUCUAUUUACAGUUGUCUCAUCUACAAUUUUCACCAGAAUCAUGACACUGAAGACAACAAAUGAAAUAUGGAACUUCCUGAAUAAGGAAUAUGAAGGAAAUGAACGAGUCAAAGGUAUGCAAGUGCUGAACUUGAUUAGAGAAUUUGAGAUGCAAAUGAUGAAAGAAUCAGAAACAAUCAUGGAUUACUCAGACAGACUUCUUAGUAUUGUUAACAAAGUAAGACUUCUUGGUACUAACUUUUCUGAUUUUAGAAUAGUUUAGAAAAUUUUUAUAACAGUUCCUGAAAAGUUUGAGACUACAAUAUCAUCUCUAGAAAACUCAAAAAAUGUGUCAAGUAUCACCUUGGCAUAGCUGUUGAAUGCAUUACAGACUCAAGAACAAAGGAGGUUAAUUAUGAGACAAGAAGGAUCUGUGGAGGGUGCAUUUCAGGCCAUAUCUCAGUACAAGAAAGAGAUGCAAAGCAACAAUAACAGAAGCAACAACACUCAAAAGUUUCCACCAUGUCCUUACUGUAAAAAAUCCAAUCAUCCACAAAAAAGGUGUUGGUGGAGGCCGGAUGUAAAAUGUCACAAGUGUGGUCAGCUAGGGCAUGUGGAAAGGAUAUGCAAAUCUCAACAGCAGCAAGGAAAAGUUAAGGCUGUUGUGGAAGAACUUCAAGAUGAGCAACUGUUUGUGGUAUCAUGCUUUGCCACUAGCAGCUCCCUAGAAACUUGGCUUAUAGACAGUGGUUGUACAAACCAUAUGACUUGUGAUCAAGGGCUCUUUAAGGAACUUGACAAGACUGUUACUUCCAAAGUUAGAAUUGGAAAUGGAGUAUAUUUUGCAGUAAAAGGAAAAGGAACAGUGGCAAUUGAAGGCCACACAAGUUUGAAAUUAAUCUCUAAUGUCUUAUAUGUUCCUGAGAUUAAUCAAAAUCUGUUGAGUGUUGGUCAACUACUGGAAAAAAACUAUAAGGUAUUUUUUGAGGACGGUCAUUGCAUGAUUGCUGAUGCACAAGGCAAAGAGGUAUUUAUAGUCCAAAUGAAAGACAAAAACUUUUUCUUGGAUUUGAUGCAAGAAGAACAGGUUGCAAUUCACAAAGAAGAAAACAAUACAAUGCUUUAGUAUAGGCUUUUGGGGCACUUUCAUCAUACCGCCCUUCUCUUUAUGAAGAAGAACGAUCUUGGAGAAGGCUUGCCUGAAUUAGAGGUGAAGCCUCCUACUUGUGUGGCCUGUUGGUAUGGGAAACAAACAAGACUUCCUUUCCCACAAAACAAGGCCUGGAGUGCUACUCAGAAGUUGUAAUUAGUACACACUGAUGUGGGAGGACCUCAGAGAACACCAUCACUGAAUGGUAGUAAGUUCUAUAUUGCUUUCAUUGAUGAUCACACAAGAAUGUGCUAGAUUUAUUUCAUGAAAUUUAAAUCUGAAGUUGCUAACAUCUUUUGGAAGUUUAAAGCUUAGGCUGAAAAUCAAAGUAAAUGUAAAAUGCAAGUGAUCAGGUCUGAUAAUGGAACUGAAUACACCUCGGAGAAAUUUAACAAAUUUUGUGAGGAUGCAGGCAUUGAGCACCAGCUUACAACACCUUAUACCCCUCAACAAAAUGGAGUUGUUGAGAGGAAAAAUAUAACACUUAUGGAAAUGACAAGGCGUUUGCUACAUGACAAAGGGCUACCAAAAAAAUUCUAGGCUGAGGUUACACAUACAUUAGUCUUUCUGCUGAAUAGACUGCCAACAAAAGACUCCAUUUGAAGCAUGGUAUGGCUAUAAACCAAGGCUGCAAAAUUUAAAACAUUUGGUUGUCUUUGUUUCUCUUUUAUUCCACAUGUUAAGAGAGACAAAUUGGAUAAGAAAGCAAAAGCUGGGAUCUUUAUAGGCUAUAGCUCAAUAUCAAAGUCCUAUAGAAUCUACCUUCCAGAAAACAACAAAGUAAUAGUUAGCAGAGAUGUCAAAUUCUUCAAAUCAGAAAGUUGGAGUUGGGAGAAUGAUAAGAAGCUUGUGUUUAAAGAGAAUCUUGAGUUCUAAAAUGACCUUAAGUUUCAAGAGAAGAAUGAAAAUAUUGAUGAUGAACCUAUCAAGGGAACCAGAUCACUCUCUAACAUCUAUCAUGGGUGCAAUGUUGCUAUAAUGGAGCCUACAAGGUAUGAAGAAGCUGCAGUUGAUAAAAAAUGGAUGGAUGCAAUGAAGGAUGAGCUUAUAAUGAUUGAAAAAAACCAAACUUGGGAGCUAGUGGACAAACCAACACACAAAAUGGCAAUUGGAGUCAAGUGAGUUUAUAGAACCAAACUCAAUUCUGAUGGUUCUAUAAACAAACACAAGGCAAGACUAGUUGUCAAAGGAUAUGCUCAGAUGUUUGGGGUGGAUUUCUCUAAGACUUUUACCCCAGUUGCUAGAUUGGACACUAUAAGAAUGUUGUUGGCUCUUGCUGCUCAAAAGGGUUGGAAUAUACAUCAGAUGGAUGUCAAAUUAGCCUUCUUGAAUGGAUACUUGGAGGAAGAAAUUUUUGUGGAGCAGCCUGAAGGUUUUAUUGUUCAAAGAAUGGAGGAGAAAGUAUAUUUGUUGAAAAAGGCCUUGUAUGGUUUAAAACAGGCACCAAGGGCCUGGUACAGCAGGAUUGAUUCACCUUUGUUAGGCUUAGGCUUUACAAAAAGCCUAAGUGAAUUUACUCUAUACUUCAGGAAGGUUUGUGAUGAAACACUUGUGGUAUCUUUAUACGUUGAUGAUCUACUUAUGACAGGAAGCAGUAUGGAGCAAACUGACAAUUUCAAAAAGAAAAUGAAGGAUGUUUUUGAGAUGACUGAUCUUGGGAGGAUGACAUUCUUUCUUGGCAUGGAGAUACAACAAAAGCAGAAUGAGAUGUUCAUAUGUCAACAGAAAUAUGCCAAAGAAAUCCUGAAAAAGUUCAAGAUGGAAUAGUGCAAUCCAAGUGCAACUCCAAUGAAUCAAAAUGAGAAGUUUUGCAAAGAAGAUGGAGCUGCAAAAGUUGAUGAAAGGCUUUACAGGACCAUUAUCGGGUACUUGAUGUACCUAAAGACAACUAGACCAGAUAUUAUGAAUGCUGUAAGUUUACGCUCAAGGUACAUGCAUUGUGAUAGUGAAAUUCACUUCCAAACAGCAAAAAUAAUUGUUAGAUAUGUCAAGGGUACAAUUGACUAUGGUCUGAGGUUUUGUCAAGUUAAAAACUUUACUCUCCAUGGUUAUUCAGAUAGUGAUUAGGCAGGUUGUGUUGAUGACAUGAGAAGUACUUUAGGUUAUUGUUUCAGCAUUGGUUCUACUAUUUUUUUCAUGGUGUUCCAAAAAGCAAGAAGUCAUAGCUCAAUCCACAGUAGAAGCAAAAUAUGUAGUUGUUGCUAUUGUUGUGAAUCAAGCUCUCUAGAUCAGGAAAUUGAUGGCUGACUUGUUUAUGGAGCAAAAGAAAAACACACAAAUACUCGUAGACAACCAAGCUGCAAUUUCAAUUGCAAAUAAUCCGGUGUUCCAUGGCAAAACAAAACAUUUCAAGCUGAAACUUUAUUUCCUAAGAGAGGUACAGAAGGAGGGAGAAAUACAGUUGGUCUACUGCAAAACAGAGAGUCAAAAUGCUGAUAUCUUAACCAAGCCACUUCCCAAAGCUAGAUAUGAGUUCUUGAGGCAAAGGCUUGGAGUCUACAGUUCCAGAGACAAGGAGGAGUGUUGAAUGACAUGUCCUAGGAGCUACUGACAUGGAGCUGAGUACAUGGAAGUGGAAGUAGUCAAAUAAGUUAGUCAUGUGGAAUAUUUACCUAUUCCUUAGGAAGUAUUUGUUGGUUUGUUUCUAUUCUUUAGGAAGUAUCUAUAGGUAGCAGGUUUGUUGCUAUUUUUUUUAUGUUUUUUUGUUUUAAGCUAGCUGUAUAAAUAAGUGUUUUGAAGCUUAAUAAAAAAUUACUUCAGAUUCCUCAAUGUUUUGUUGCUUCCUGAGAGUUUCUACACUUUGUUUCUAUCAAAACCCAUAGAUUCCAUCUUCCAUUGAACAUUUGUGCAUAUGAGUUCUUAGGAAAAGUGUCAUUGCAAUGAGUGCCAUUAUUAUGAGCUAAAAACAUAAAAGAAUAAAUAAAUUAGGAUCGCAUAUUCAAAAUUAUAAGCCAUCAUCGUAAGUAACAAUAAUAAUAACACUCACUUGGAUGAGCUUUAAAAUAUAGACAAAUGAGUUCCUCUUCAUCAGCAAGUGCUCUCUUGAGAGGUAAGCAACCAACAAUUCUUUCUUGCUAAUUCCAUACUUUUUGGUUGUCAAAGCAGUUGGAUGGCUUUUGGCCUUGUUAAUUGGAGUUGCAAGCUCUUUUGCUAGUUGCUCUCCAACAUGAAAUGACUGGAAUGCCUCAACAAAUUCCUUCGCUAUGGCAAACCUGUAAGGCUCAUUUUUUAGUGUCCAAUACUGCUCAUGAUCUUUCCUAGAUGUUACCUGCAAUGAAUUCAGUUUUCAAAAAGACUAAUUGUGCAUCUUAAUAUGUAAAUCUUAUCUUCUAGCUUGAUUUUAUCUAAAAGAAGAAAAUACCAAAAACUACAAAGCUAGAUUUGCACUCACUUCUUGGAGGAAGUCUGUCACGCCCUUUCUUUGAGGACAUUUGAAGCCCAUUGACUAAAAAAAUUCAAGCACAUUUUCACGAGGUCCUUGAUAAACAAUAUGACUAUCAAAGAGGAGAAUGAUGUCAUAAAAAAAAUCACAAGUCUCAAGUGGUGGUUGGAAGAGAGAAAUGACAGCAAUCCCAUUAAGAAUGUGGAUGGUUUGCCUGAGAGAAUUCACAAUUUGACAAGUUGUUGAGUUGUCCAAGCCAGUAGAGAUCUCGUCCAUGAAUAGCGCCUUUGAUGGACCGACCAGCAUCUCACCUAUCAUUCAAACAUUUCUCAUAAUUAAAUUAAAUUAAAUCAAUGAACCAUACAUAUAAAUACAUAUGUAGUUUUUUUCUUAUUCUUUCGGUUAAAAACCAAAUUAUUCAACCUGUUGUCACACGCUUCCUUUGUCCUCCAAAGAUACCUCUUAUCAUUUCAUCUCCUACCAUGAUAUCAGCACAGAUAUCUAAUCCCAGAAUCUGUGGAUAGAAGCAGGCAUAAAGACAAAUAAACAAAGUAUGAGCUAGUAUUGGCUUUUCUCAUAAAUCCGUAUGUCAUCAUUGAAAGUCAUAUGGUUAUAGUACCUUCAUUAUAUGAUCAGUGACCACACUUUUCUUUUGGCCUUCAGUUGCUACUGCCUGAAAUAUUAGAAACUAGUAAUGACAAUAUUAGAAACCAAUUCUGUUCAGUACAUUAAGAAAUUCCGUGGAUAAAAGAUUUUGCAAUAGAGCAAAAUUCAGGAAUAAGAUCGACUCAAGCCAUUCAAAAGAGUACAAAAAGAAGGGAACAAACUCCAGAAUAGACACAACAUCAAGAAUACAAAGCUAAUUUGCCUAUUUAUGUCAAGAGAUCAAAAUUUUCAUUCUAGGGAAUACAAACAUCCAUGUUCUCCACUAAAAGCAAAUAGAUCAAAUUUAGAAGAACUGGUACAAAUUUUAUUGAAAGUAGCUUCUGUCUCACCUUCAUGAAGACAUUGAUAUCAGGAUCAAGCUUAAUGUUUGAUGUUUUCUCUCUUCUUGCGAGCUCUGCUAACAUUUUUGCAGAUAGCCAAAAUAAGAGUCAAUCUCCUAGCCUAUACAAAUGAGAUAUAACUGCAUUGGCAAUCUUCAAAAAUAGAGAAAAUAAAAGGCAAAGGCAAUGGCUUCGACUAACUAAAUCGAUCUCUAACACCCUGGCAUCUUGUAGAGAAGGCCAAGGUUUCUUGUACAGUCAUUUCUCCAAGAUGGGUAUCAUGUUGACUGAUAUACGCAGCAGUUCUCUAUUGUACAAACUCAUUCAUGCCAUGACCAUUGUAUGUCACUCUUCUAGUAACCUAAAGAAGAAAUUCCAGUUUUCAAAUUAGACAUAAGAUAAAACAGCUAAAAUUUGAAUAGUCAUGAUUAUUUUUUUCAUUCAACCUUCAGAUUGGGAUCAACAGUUUGGCGACCCGACCCAAAUAAUAUUGCAUGAUUUUUUAAUGGAAGAUUUACUGAGGCUUGUUGGGCCCGUUUAGCCCAUUGUGGAACCACAUUUUGUAAUUAGAGUUUUUUAGUGUGGUGUGGUUGUCGUGUUAUAUAUAGAGAGAAAAUAUUGUAGCUGCAGUAGUUGUACUCUGUAUUUUUCCCUGAUAAUAGUGAUAUCCCUGCAACUCCGUGGACGUAAGCAAAUUGUCGAACCACGUAAAUACUGUCCUAUGCAUGUGAUUGUUUUUUUUUCUUUGGCGUGUGUUUUUUCUAUUUUUUGUUUCUCACGGGUUAGGAAUUCGCCUUAAUUCCCUACAACUGGUAUCAGAGCCUAGGGUUAGGUUUGAGUGGGAGCAAUGACAGAGGAAGCAGGAAAGGCAUUUGGAAUAGAAAAGUUUGAUGGCAUAGACUUUGCGUAUUGGAGGAUGCAGAUUGAAGAUUAACUCUAUGGGAAGAAAUUGCAUUUGCCUAUUUUGGGGACAAAACCUGAGAGUAUGAAGGUUAGGGAAUGGGUGCUUCUUAACAGAUAGAUUCUAGGAGUUAUUAGGUUAACUCUGUCUAGGUCUAUUGCACACAAUGUUGUAAAGGAAAAUACCACAGCAGAUCUGAUGAAGACUUUGUCUGGUAUGUAUGAAAAGUCAUCCGCAAACAAUAAGGUGUAUCUGAUGAAGAAAUUGUUCAAUUUGAAGAUGGCAGAGAAUGCAUCAGUAGCAUAACAUCUGAAUGAAUUUAAUACAGUCACAAAUCAAUUGUUGUCUGUAGAAAUUGAUUUUGAUGAUGAGAUUCGUGCUCUGAUCGUCUUGACUUUUUUUCCAAACAGUUGGGAAGCAAUGAGGAUGGCAGUAAGCAAUUCUACAGGAAAGGAAAAGCUCAAGUACAAUGAUAUACAAGAUUUAAUUCUGGCUAAGGAGAUUCGCCGAAGAGAUGCAGGCGAAACCUCAGGAUCUAGUUCUGCCCUAAACCUUGAGACAAGAGGCAAAGGUAAUGACAGAAAUUCAAAUCGGGGUAGAUCAAAAUCCAUAAUUCUAAUCGGAACAGAAGCAAAUCUAGAUCAAGCGAACAAGUAUAAUGCUGGAACUGUGGGAAAAUAGGUCACUUUAGAAGGCAAUGCAAAAGUCCUAAGAAGAAGAAUGAAGAUGAUUCUGCUAAUGCUAUAACAGAAGAGGUACAGGAUGCAUUACUUCUUGCAGUAGACAGUCCACUUGAUGAUUGCGUUUUGGAUUCAGGAAUUUCGUUUCAUACCACUCCACACCGAGAAAUCAUACAGAAUUAUGUUGCAGGUGAUUUUAGUAAGGUGUAUUUGGCUAAUGGUUCAGCCUUGGAUGUUGUGGGUCUGGGAGACAUCCAAAUAUCAUUGCCCAAUGGGUCUGUUUGGUUAUUGGAGAAGGUUCGACAUAUUCCUGACCUGGGGAAGAAUCUGAUUUCUGUUGGACAACUUGAUGAUGAAGGACAUGCAAUACUAUUUGUUGGUGGUACUUGGAAGAUUACAAAGGAAGCUAGGGUAUUAGCUCGUGGAAAGAAGACUGGUACUCUAUAUAUGACCUCAUGUCCAAGAGACACAAUUGCAGUUGCUAAUGCAAGUAUUGAUACAAGUCUAUAGCACCGUAGACUUGGUCACAUAAGUGAGAAAGGGAUGAAGAUGCUAUUGUCAAAAGGAAAACUACCAGAAUUGAAGUCCAUCGAUUUUGACAUGUGUGGAAGUUGCAUCUUAGGAAAGCAAAAAAAUGUGAGCUUCUUGAAAACUGGCAGGACAGUGAAGGCUGAAAAAUUGGAACUAGUACACACUGAUUUGUGGGGGCCUUCUCCGGUUGCAUCCCUUGGAAGUUCAUAUUUAAAAGUUUUUUGUUGUGUUUCUUAUGUUCAUAUUGAUUCUGAUGCUCGUAGUAAACUUAAUGCAAAGUCAAAAAUAUGUUUUUUCAUUAGCUAUGGUGAUGUGGUUAUAGGUUUUGGGAUGAACAAAACAGGAAAAUCAUCAGAAGUAGAAAUGUGAUAUUUAAUGAACAGGUUAUGUAUAAGGACAGGUCAACUAUAGUGUCAGAUAUUACAGAGAUAGAUCAAAAGAAAUCUGAGUUUGUCAACUUAGAUGAAUUGACUGAAAGUACUGUCCAAAAAGGGGGUGAAGAAAAUAAGGAGAAUGUAAAUUCACAGGUAGAUCUGAGUACACCGGCCUAUAACUGAAGUUCGUAGAUCUUCUAGGAACAUUAGACUUCCAGAGCGUUAUUCACAUGUUUUAAAUUAUCUCAUGUUGACUAAUGGUGGUGAGUCAAAGUGUUAUGAUGAAGCCUUGCAAGAUGAGAAUUCAAGCAAGUGGAAGUUAGCCAUGAAAGAUAAGAUGGAUUCCUUGUUGGGGAAUCAGACAUGGGAACUGAUUGAAUUGCCAGUAGGAAAUAAGGUUUUGCACAACAAGUGGGUAUAUAGAAUAAAGAAUGAGCAUGAUGGUAGCAAACGUUAUAAGGCUAGAUUAGUUGUUAAAGGGUUCUAACAGAAGGAAGACAUUGACUACACAGAGAUAUUUUCUCUAGUUGUGAAGAUGUCAACAAUCAGACUUGUACUGGGAAUGGUGGCUGAAGAAAACUUGAGCAAUUAGAUGUGAGGACAACAUUCCUUCAUGGUGACUUGGAGGAAGACCUUUACAUGAUUCAGUCAGAAAGAUUCAUUGUUCAGGGACAAGAGAAUCUAGUCUACAAACUAAGAAAGAGCUUGUAUGGCCUUAAACAAGCUCUUAGACAAUGGUAUAAGAAGUUUGACAGUUUUAUGCAUAGAAUUGGGUUCAAGAGAUGUGAAGCUAAUCACUGUUGCUAUGUUAAGUUUUUUGACAAUUCUUACCUCAUAUUACUGUUGUAUGUGGAUGAUAUGCUUAUUGUAGGGUCUAGCAUUGAGGAUAUUAAUAAUCUGAAGAAGCAAUUGUCCAAACAGUUUGCAAUGAAGGAUUUGGGAGCUGCAAAGCAAAUCCUUGGUAUGAGAAUCAUUAGAGACAAGACUAAUGGUAUAUUGAAGCUUUCACAGUCAGAGUAUGUGAAGAAAGUUCUCAGCAGGUUCAACAUGAAUGAAGCUAAACCAGUGAGCACACCCUUGGGAAGUCAUUUCAAACUAAGCAAAGAACAAUCACCGAAGACAGAAAAAUAAAUGGACCAUAUGAGCAAGGUGCCCUAUGCCUCAGCUAUUGGCAACUGAUGUAUGCUAUGGUGUGUACAAGGUCAGACAUUGCACAUGCAAUGGGAGUUGUGAGCAGAUUCAUGAGUAGGCCUGAAAAGUAGCAUUGGGAGGCAGUCAAGUGGAUUCUAAGAUAUUUGAAGGGUUCAUUAGAUACAUGUCUUUGCUUCACAGGUGCAAGUUUGAAACUAUAGGGUUAUGUAGAUGCUGAUUUUGCUGGUGAUAUUGAUAGUAGAAAGAGUACUACUGGGUUUGUUUUUACUCUAGGUGGUAUAGUUAUAUCAUGGGUUUCAAAUCUACAGAAGAUUGUUACUUUGUCUACUACAGAAGUUGAGUAUGUUGCAACAACUAAAGCUGGAAAUGAGAUGAUUUGGCUACAUGGUUUCUUAAAUGAAUUGGGUAAGAAGCAGAAAAUGGGCAUUCUACACAGUGACAGUCAGAGUGCAAUUUUUCUUGCCAAAAAUUUGGCUUUUCAUUUAAAGUCGAAGCAUAUACAAACAAAAUAUCACUUUAUCCGUUACCUUGUUGAAGAUAAUCUGGUAACUCUUGAGAAGAUUUGUAGAUCUAAGAACCCGACAGACAUGUUGACUAAGGGUAUCACUAUUGAGAAGUUGAAGCUGUGCGCAGCUUCAAUUGGUCUUCUAGCUUGAGGACAUGAGGAUGAGUUGUAGGGAUGAAGGAUUAUUUCUUGGAGGAUAGCGGUUUGAUGUUGGUGAUUGAACUAGUCUCCAAGUGGGAGAUUUGUCGGGUUUUGUGGAGUCUAGUUUUGUUUGAUCCGGUUUGGUGACCCGACCUAAAUAAUAUUGUAUGGCUUUUUAAUGGGAGAUUUACUGAGGCUUGUUGGGCCCGUUUAGCCUAUUAUGGAACCACCUUUUGUAAUUAUGGUUUUUUAGUGUGGUGUGGUUGCCGUGUUAUUGAUUACUACCAAAAAGUGCUAUUUUGUAGACCUAAUUAUAAUGGUUUUAAGCACCUUUGAGUAGUAAUCAUAUUCAUUUAACCCAAUUAAUUCAUUAAGGUCCUUAGUAAUUGGUUUUAACCAUUUUGUGGGCAAGUUUACAUAUUUUUAUCAGCUUAUGAAUCAAUUCAAGCAUGCCAAAUGAUGGAGGAGCUACUUGGACAAGUUAUGGCAGUUAUAUAUAGAGAGAAAAUAUUGUAGCUGUCGUGGUUGUAUACUAUAUUCUUCCCUGAUAAUAAUGAUAUCCCUGCAACUCUAUGGACGUAGGCAAAUUGUCGAACCACGUAAAUACUGUCUUGUGCGUGUGAUUUUUUUUUUCUUUGGCAUGUGUUUUCUCUAUUUUUUGUUUCUCACAAGUUGGGAAUUCGGCUUAAUUCCCUACAAAGCUUUCCGGACAACGCCAAUUCAGAACUUGGAGGACCCAAAAGUAACGUCAAUCUGUAGAAAAAAAAAAUGCACAACAAUUGAAUAUAGAUCUUUGAGUAUAUUCUAAAUUCAAAGGAACUAUUCGUUUGUUUUAUUAAGUAAUCCAUUUUUACACUCGAAACGAAUUCAUACUCUCACCUACUAGGUUUGAUGAUUCCGCUAACAUCUCAAAGAAUAGUGAAUUUUCUCUUUCUAGUUCAAAGAAUCUGAAGACUAUGCAAGAUAUUCUUUAAAACAGAAGGAAAAUUAUAAUCUAUAAGUAUACAUAUCGAAAAGAGUAUUUAUUGCAUAGAUAAUGAUCUACAUUUGCAUUGUAGUUACCUCAACUUGAUUAAAAAUGAAAUUAAAGAAUGAAGGCAAAGCUCUGCUUCCUACAUAAGCUUCUCCAUCAAUAGUAAGAUGCUCAUAUCUAACUUCAUUUUGGGAAGUUCAAUCCCAACUCUGAAAAAAUGGAAGAGACAUGAAAACUCAUCAUUAAAAAGUUAAAGAAAGUUGUUUGGUUGGGGAGAAAAUGUAGGAAACAACUAUCAGGCAAACUCACCUAUCCAUACGAUUCUUGAGCUUCAACAAGAACUUCUCAUUGUACUCUUCAGCAAUUUUUAUCAACUGUUCCACUAAAUUCUUCUUGUCCUGAAGCCCAAGGUUGUGUAUAUCAACUUCAAUGGCCUCACCCUCUGAUCCCAGCAACAAACCUUUCCUCAACCGAUUGUAGGUGGGGGGUUUCUCAAGUGCGGCCCAUUUCAAAGCUUCCUCGUCAUCCUCACCCCUCGUAGAUUGGGAGAAAAUCUCGACGUCAGGGGUCCUCCAUCUCAUAGAACCAGCUCUACGAGUUUCAGGAGUCGACAUUGCAAACAAAAAGGAAGAACUCUCCUGCAAAACCAACAAGAACCCGCCAAAACCCGAACUGUUGAAAUUAUAAUCCAAGCUAAAGUCAAACUAAAAGAAUUUUAGGAAUUUGAUCAAUAUUAAAAAUUAUUAUUUAUUUAGAUUUAUAUGUUAAUUAAGACUUUUGGUAUAAUAGCAAUUGGAGUCUAGAAUAUAAACUCAUUUUUCUCUCUCUUAGUACAAUGUUAUGUCUUGUUGUAUUGCUGCUACUGCAUUGUAAAAAUCAUAUAGAAUGGAAGGUUUAUAUAGUGAUUGGUAGGACAGAAAAUGAAGCGUCAAAAGAUUUGAAACUGGUUUAUUUUCUUGUGAUUCUUUAAGUUAUGUUUGGUUUCUAAAAAAGUACUAAGAAAAGAAAAAAAAAUGAUUUUCUCAUGUUUAGUUUCAUAAUGAAAAAUACAAAAGAAAAUAAAAUAUAAUUAAAAUUUGUUAAAAUUUUAUAUAUUUUUAAAUUAUUUAAUCUUUAUAUAAUAGACGAAAAUAAGUAAAAUAACUUUGAAGAAAUAUAUUAAGGUUAUGUUUGGUUCCCGGAAAGUACCAAGGAAAGAAAAAAAAAUGUAAAGGAAAAUGGUUUUCUCAUGUUUGAUUUCAAUAUAAUUUUUUUUUAAAAAAAAUUAAAUAUAAUUAAAAUUAGUUAGAAAUUUAUACAUUUUAAAAUUAUUUAAUUUUUAUAUAAUGGAUGAAAUGAAGUGAAAUGAGUUUGAUGAAACAUAUAUAAAUAAUUUAUUAAUUUUAAAUUUAUUUUUUAUUUUCCUUUAUUUUUUCUUUCCUUCCACUUUUCCUUUUUAUUUUCUUUCCCUCACAUUUUCUCUUUAAUUUUCCGAGAACCAAACAUAGUCUAAAGUAAUUUAUUAAAUUUAAAUCUAUAUUAAUUUUUUUAUAUUUUUCUUUCUUUCUACUUUUCCUCUUUAUUUUCUUUCCUUCAUAUUUUUUCUCAUAUUUUUCGGGAACCAAACAUAGCCUAGAAAAUUGGUGAGGGAAAUCGACUAUAAAAGAGUCUGCACAACGACUUCAUAAUAAUGUACACAUGCCACCAUCUUUUUUUUUCCCUUCAACUUCCUAUAUUAAGACUUUCACAGUUGAUAAUUUUUGGUUUCUUACACUUUCUUUAGCAAGUAAAUAGAAAUGUGAAUUAUUGAAUGUUUUGUUAGUUUUUAAAAUAAGAAGAAAUAUAAUACUUAAUUUUAUACAUGUUUUCAAGCAUGUUUGGUAUGUGAGAUAUGAUAGGAUAGAGUAUUUAUAUUCUAUAAUAUCAAAUUCCAUUAAAUGAAAAAUGCAUAUUUUAAAAUAUAAUUUUUCAAUUAAAUAUGUUAUUUUUUUAUAUUAAAUCCAAUCGAUAUGAUAUUGUGAGAUGACAUAUCCAAUGCAUUUCCUAAAAUAAAUUAUUUCCAUAUAUUUUUAAGAUUAUCAAGUCUAAUGGAUAUAAUAUUCCAAGGUAACAUAUUUAAUGAGAUAGGUAAUGUAACGUUAUGCUUAUAUUUAAUUUGUAAAAUUAAUAAGAAAUAAAAUAGAAUAUAUAUUUUUUUAUAAUAUAUUUUGUAAAUUUUUUUUGGUUCUUCUAUUUUAACCAUAAAUUUAACUUCACAAUAAAAAAAUUAUUUUACUAAAUAAGUGAUAAAAAAUAAAAAAUAAUAAAAGAAAAAUAAAUUUAUAAUACAUAGGAUAAUAUAUCUCACUACUUAUCCUAUAAGGAAUAUAAAAAAGAUAUAGAUAAUAUAUCUCACUACUUAUUCUACCAUGUAUUACAUCCACCCAACCAAACCAUGACCUUACGGAUAUAAAAAAAAUUAAUGUUUAAUAACAUCCACAUUAAUGAAAACAAACAAUUUACUUAUAUAAACUAAACAAUCAAACACUCAAAUGAUAUUUCGCUCUAUUUAGACUAAUGAAAAAUAAACAAUUUAAAUAUUUAAUAACAUUCCACUUUAUUAAGCUUUAAGCUUAGAAUCUUAAAAAAUAAAAAUAAAAAUAAAAAAAAAAUAAAAAUUUACUUUAAGAAUUUUUUUUAGAGUUGUUUCAAAGUAAUGGGAUUAUUUGUUUUUUCUUUUUCAUUUAUGUCAUAAAGCAAAUUAUUUUAAAAUUUAAAAUCAAAAUAUAAAAAUUUAUUUUUUAUAUUAAGAUAAAAUUGUCUUAUAAAAAGUAACAAGUUAAAAAACAAAUAAUUUUAAAAAUGACUUAAGUCUUAACACUAUUAAGUAUUAUUUAGAUGCAAGGUUUAUUUAAUUUUAUUUUUUUUCAAAAAAAGCACCACCUUUCAAAUAAGAUUUAAGCAGGUUUAACCUCUUUGAAAUUGCUUGAAAUCUAGGAGGUUAUUUGUUUUUUAAACUUAAAUCUUAAAGCUAGUUGCUUUAAAAUUUAAGAUAAAAGUAAAUAAAAUAAAAUGAAAACUUUUGUUAUUAAGACAAAAUUUUCUUUUAAAAAUGAUAAACUAAAAAAAUAAUUUGAAAAAUGACUUCCAUCUUAAAGCAACUCUUUUUAUUAGGAUUGCCUCUCUAUCCUAAUUAAAAUUAAUAAUCAACUUGAUUUUGAGUAAGAGAAUAUCAAUGUUAACCAACAUUAUUUUCUAAUAAAAGUAUUUGUGAAAACGUAAACAUAUUUAUGCUUCAAUAAAUGGAAUACAUUUUUUAGUAAUAUAACCGUAUUUUAAUUUUGAAUAAAAAAAACAUAUUAGUCUAAUAAUCGAUAUUCAUAAUUGAUAAUAUCAUACAUUAAAAAUUAUUAAUGGCGAAUAACUAAUAUAUAUGGAUUAUUAAAGCAACUAUGAGCAUACAACCUAUGGAACUUGGUGUAAACUUUUUUGUGGAUCUGUUUUUUCUUUGCUAAUUAAAAAAUAAAUUAGUAAAGCAAUAACGAGCAUAGAAAUUAAUUAAAACAAUAACUAUCACUCAAAUGAAGUAUUAGGUUCUAUUGAUAAUUGUUUUUAAAAACAAUUUUUAGUCUCCAGAAUAAAAAUAAAAAAAACAAAAAAAAAACAAGAAAACAAGUUUGAUAAUAGAAAACAAAAAGCAUUUUAUUGUUUUGUUUUUUUUUUUAAGAAAAACAUUGUAUUUUCAAUCCUUUAAUUGUUUUCGCUUUUUUUUAAAGGAUUACUUUUUAAAAAUAAUCAUACAAAUAUGAAGAAUGAUUAAAAAUAAAACACUACAUAUAAAAAUUAUUUUUAAAACAUAUUUAAAAAUAUAAAAAACAUGUUAAUAAUAUUUUAGGUUUUUAAAUAGACUUUUGUUUUAUAAAAAAUCAAACAACAAUUUUCAAAAAUUAUUUUUAAAAAUUAUUUUCAAAAAAACACUUUUCAAAUACCCUAUCCUACCAACUAUAUAUAUAGACACACACAAUGCUAAUGAUUUUUAAAAGAAAAACAGUCACAUGAAAAAGGUAAUGAUAUUAGAGAGUAUAGAAGAACUUACUAAAUUGAAGAUCGAACAAGUCUUAGAAAAACAUUGUCAAUAAUACAUGGGAUGAUCAGAACGAUUUCAUAUAGCUACUGAGAUUGUCCUCAAAGUUGUUCUUAAAAAACAAAAAUACUAUAAAUGGUUGGAUCCAACCUUUCAAGGAAACCAAAGCCCUUUUCUUUUUUCUUUUUUUGAUAAAGAGAUUUUCAUUUUUUUCCUUCUAAAAGGAACAUUCUAUAUAUAGAAUCUAAAGGUAUCAAACUGUGCCUCCAAGUAGUUUGACUGUAAAGUACAAUUCAAUCCUACGUGUUGAUUGUUCUUUUGGUUUGCUAAUUGGUCAGGCAAUCGAUCUUUCCUCACGUGGUUUCCAUAUUAUCAUUUUUUCAUCUUUUUCCUCAUCAUUUUUAUCCUUUUCCAUAAAUAUAUAUAUAUAUAUAUAUAUAUAUAUAUAUAUAUAUAUAUAUAUAUAUUUAAAUUAUUUCAUUAGCAAUUUGUUGAAGACUUGAAAAUAAAUUAAAUAAGAGAAAUAUUCACAAAUUUUUUACUUAAUUAUUCAUGAUGACAUUAAUUAUGAGAGUAAGGUAUAACCAAAUAAGACUAAGAUGGUGUUUGUUUUUUUACUUAAUUCUAAAUAGAGUCUUAAUACUUAAUAGUGUUAAAUAUUAGGUUGUUUGUUUUUGUAGUAUUUUAUUUCUAUUAAGUAUUAAAAAGUAAAAAAAAUCAAUAUAUUAUUUUCUCUAUUUAGAAAAAGUUACAUAUUUUGGUUUUUUCUAUUUAGUAAAAAGUUUAUAAUAAGUCAUGAAAAAGUAGAAAAACAAACAACCUAAAUUUUAAAACUAAAUUGUUUUCAGCAAAAAGCUAAAAAAACAAACACCACCUAAGAUAGGAAAAAAUGAGACCAAAGAAUUUGUCUCUAAAAGGUAUGAAAAAAUGAGAAUCAAAUAUGAAUGAAGGAGAUAUAGGUAUAAACUUAAUAAGAAAAAUGUUAAUUAUGCUUAAAUCUAUGAAUUUAAGAAAAUCUAAAAUUUCGAUCAUAAUUAUUCAUGAUCACAUCAAAUUUAUAUAUAGGAAUGGUUGAAAAUAAUGAGAGCAAUGCAUAACCAAAUGGUACUAAGAUGGGAAAUAAUGAGACCAAAGAAUUUGUCUUUAAAAGGUAUGAAAAAAUGAGAUUCAAAUACCGAUUAACUAGAUAUAGGUAUAAAUUUAAUAGGAGAAAUAUUAAAUACGCUUAAGGUUAUGUUUGGUUCCAAGAAAAUAUUAAAAAAAUAAAAAAAAAAUAUAAAGGAAAAUGAUUUUCUCAUAUUUGAUUGUCUUAUGAAAAAUAUAAAAGAAAGUCAAGUAUAAUUAAAACUAAUUAGAAACUUACGUAUCUUUUAAUUAUUUAAUCUUUAUAUCGAUUAAUUAAAAUAAACAAAAUGAGUUUGAAGUAAUAAAUAAAAAUAAUUUAUCGAUUUUUAAUCUAUUUUUUAUUUUCCUUUCAUUUUCCCACAAAUUUUUGUGGAACCAAACAUUUGAAGUAAUAAAUGUAUGAAUUUAGGAAAAUCUAAAAUUUGGCCAUAAUUUUUCAUGAUUACAUCAAAUAUAUAUAGGAAUGGUUGAAAAUAAUGAGAGCAAUGUAUAACCAAAUGAUGUUAAGAAAAUAAUGAAAUCAAAUAAUUUGUCUCUAAAAGGUAUGGAAAAUGAGAGUCAAAUAUGAAUUAAUGAGAUACAAGUAUAAAUUUAAUAAGAGAAAUACUAAUAAUGCUUAAAUAUGUGAAUUUAAGAAAUUCUAAAAUUUUGACCAUAAUUUUUCUCAAAUCAAAUAUAUAUAUAGGAAUGUGUGGACCCCGCAUUUCGGCUCAUGCGUUUCCCACUCGAUGGCGAGCUCGAUUUUAAUUUGAAAUUUUGAUUUUAUUUAUUGUUUGAAAAUGACUUGGAGUCGCCACUUAUUUUUGUUUUAUUUUAAAGGGUAAACAAAAUAAGAAAGAAAAACCCUAAGUGUGACUCCUUGUUUUGGAAAAUGUGGUCUAUGAAAAACCGGAUCGAGUUCGGGGGUCAGGUUACUUAUCGAGAAGGUACGGUAGAGACCGUAGCACCCCUCUAAGUCCCUAAAAACAGGUCUCUACUAAUAAAAUAAAGCAAUCAUGGCAAUUGAUGAGUAAAUCAAUAAAUACCUAGGAUGGCCAUGCUCAUGUGAAAAUCAAAACACUCAAUAAGAACGAUCGAAGUGGGAGUGGAGCAUACCUUGGCACCAAACGAUCAGCGUCCAUCAAGAAAGGGGGUUAGCGCACAGUUAAGAAAUAAUAUCAUGCAUGUCAUAGAGCAGAAUAACUCAAUCAUGUACUACCAUCAAAUCAACUAAUUAAACAAUCAAUCAUAAAAACGUGUAUGUGGGGCCCCCACCAAAGCCCGAUUUAUAUUGCAUGAAUUAAUCCCAUAAAUUCCAUUAUUCGGAAUUACGGAAAAUUCAUUCUUGCUUAUUAAAGUCCAUAGGAGCAGAAGAUUGUUUGAAAGCCAUAGCGAAAUUAAAACUAUUCGGGAGAAAAUUAGAUUUUUGAAAUUUAAUUGAAAAAUUGGAAUCUCGAAGAUCACUAGAAAAUUGGAGUUUUAGAGUUUAUUUGGAGAUUAGACUUUUAGAGAUUGAAUGUGAGAAUGAGAAUUUUUAGAAACUGAAUUUGAAAGAGGUUGGAAUUUUGAAAACGAUUUGAAGGUUCGGGAUUUUAAAGAAAAAUUAAGUUGCGAAAAUUGAGACUUUGGGAGUUGAAUUUUGAAAGAUAUCAGAAUCGUAAGUUAUUUGAGAAAUAGAAAUUAUGAAAGUUGAUGAGUAAAAAUUGGAAAUCUUAGAAAUCAUUCGAAGGCGGAAUUUAUAGAAAUAAUGAAUAAGAUGAUAAUGAUAAUGAUAAUGAUAAUAAUAAGUAGUGGGAUAAAUACGGGAAUUGGAGCAUGGAAAACUGAAAAUUAAGUUCGGAGAUUGGACAAUUGGAGUUUCAAAUAGCUAAAUUUAGAAAUUGGAAUUUUGAAGAAUUGAAUUUUAAUGAUUGAGAUUUUUAAGAGAAAUAAAUAGGUAAAUAUGGAAUAAUGUUAUUAAUUAAUCAAAACGAUAUUUGGACAGAUGAAUAGUGAAUAGUGGGAUUUUUAAAUUUAAGUUUGAAAGUCGGAUCUCUGAAUAAUUGGACUCUAAUUAUUGGAAUUUUUAGAAGAAAGAAAUAAGUAAACGUGGAAUUUAUAACAAUGAUAACAAAGAUGAUAUUUGAAUGAAUAAAAGUGAAUGGUGGAAUUUUUGAGUCUCAAGGUUAAAUUUGGAAGUCCGGUUUUUGAAGAAUUGAAUUUUAAUGAUUGAAAUAAAUAAGUAAAUAAGUAUGGAGUAAUGAUACUAAUUAGCAAAAAUAAUGUUUAAACGAGUAAAAAAAUAAUAGUAGAAUUUUUCUAAUCAAGAAUUUGAAUUAGGGCGUUGGAUUUUUAAAGGAUAUGACUUUGAAUAAAUAGGUAGGAUUAUAAUACUAAUUAAUGAGAAUAAUAUUUAGGCGAAUAAAGAUGGAUAGUAGAAUUUUUUUUUUAGAUUGGAGUUUUAAUUAAGGCAUGGGGUUUUCGGAAGAUUGGACUUUAAAUAGACAUGAAAUAAAUGAUUCUAAUUGAUGAAGAUAAAAUUUAGACGAAUUGUAGAAUUUUUAGGAUUGAAAGAUUGAAUUAAGACAAGAGAUUUUUUGAAGAACUAGGUUUUAAAUAAAUAGAUGAAUAUGGGAUAAUAAUCCUGUUUGAUGAAAAUAAGAUUUAAACGAUAGGAUAAUAAUUCCAAUUGAUGAACAUGAGAGACAGAUAUUUGAAGAAUUAAAUUAAGGCAUGGGAUUUUCUUAAAAGAUUCAGAUUUUAAAUAGCUAGAUAAAUAUGAGAUAAAUAAUUCUAAUGGAUGAAAAUGAGAUUUGAACUAAUUAUUGAAUUUUUAGGAUUGAAAAAUUAAAUUUAAAUAUGGAAUGUUUGAAGGAUUAGACUUUAAGUAACUAGGUAAGUAUGGGAUUAUAAUUCCGAUUGAUGGAAACAAGGUCUAAACGAGCUUUUGAAAAAUUAAAUUGAGACAUGGGGUUUUUGAAGGAUUAGAAUUUUGACUUUAAUAAACGAGAUUUAUAAAAUAUGAUAAAUAGAUAUACACAAAAAAAUAAUAAUAAUAAUAAAUAGUUAUAAUGUUUAAGCUAGCCAAAUUGAAUAAUAUAAGCUUCAAGAUAAAACUAUAAUUAACAAUAAUAAUUUGACUUUCAAUUUUCUUUAAGAUGAGUUAACCAAAUGUAUAAAAAUAAGAUGACAAAUAAAAGGGGAUGAUUUGAUUAAUCAAUUAUGGAUAUUAGAGGUUUUGUUUUGUUUUCUUUUUAAAAUGAUUAUUUAGGAAUUGGGCAACCUGAUGGGCUAACUUGAAGUGGGCAUGGGCCACUUUAAUAAGGGGAAUUGGCAUGAGGCCUUCAUCAAUGUAAAUGGGCCUGGGCUCCAACUUAAGCCCAAGUCCAAUGCUAGCAUGGGCGGCUUCAGAGACUCAUCUCCCUCACCAACUUGUCCCGCCUGGCUGCAACCCCUUCAACAUCUCCCCGCGGCGGCGGCGGCUGACUCCAUCACGCCUGGAUGAAGCUGGCAGUCGGCGCGCGCCGCUUUCUCGGCGCGUCCACGUGCUCUACCGGCUGAGAUCGAGCUUCCUUUCUUCACGGUGGUCAUGUGCAUGUCGCCGACGCAAGCAGACGACAGCUGGUUGAGCUCUCUCUGGAUCGCUCUCCCUCCGGCAGCGACGUCGCCCGAGUCAGGUACGACGCAGGCGAGAUCGAAGGCGCGUCCUGCGCGCGCCUCGUGCCUUCUCGUGUCUACAUCGAGCAGCUCUCCAUGCUACCCCGUCGGAUUCGGGCUGCCUUGACCGCCGUGGGAGCAGUGGCUGCGGCGACGAUGCUUGGGAUUAGCACCGAUCCAGAGCUCCUCUUUAGGGGCUCAUCGGUUAUGAAAGGUGGCAGCCAUGCAUGGCUAUGCAUAGCCAUGCGAGGGGAGAGGAAUGGGUGCAGGGACGUGGAUGGGAACUAGGAUAGCUGUGGUGGGUAUUGGUAUGGGUUCAACGCAGCCAUGCAAGGGUGGAGAGAAACUGGAAGUUCUCAAUGCCAUUGAUCAAACAUCAAACCCAAGUGAGGAUCCAAUCUCUUGCAAGGGAAAAAUCAACAAAAUUGCAGGAAGCAAAAAAAAAAAAAACAGAGCAAGCAUUUUCAGGGUCUUGGAUACCCACAGCAAAUCACAAAAUAACCUUCAUAGAUUAACAGAAGACCUUACCUGAAUAUUCCACCACGUCACCUUCCUCUCUCUCGUCUGAAUCCCCCUGCGCCCCCUCUUCUUUUCUCCAAGCUUCAAAAUGUCCCCCCCCAUCACCCCCCGGAACCCCCCUUUUCUUUUUCUUCUCUUUUUCCUCUGUUUGUGUCUUCCUCAGCAAGUCAUCCUGCCUGCUGCUACCCAUCCCAUCUGGUGGCUACCCCUCAUCCCCUCUAGCUGCCCCAGAGCAGCCCGCUUGAGAGGCGGUCAGAAAAACAAUAAUAAUAAUAAUAAUAAUAAUAAGCUAAAGCUCCUGGGGGGGUGGUUUUCUACAGAAUGGUUGAAAAUAAUGAAAUCAAUGUGUAACCAAAUGGGACUAAGAAAAAUAAUGAAACCAAAAAAUUUGUCUCUAAACAGUACCAAGAAAUGAGAAUCAAAUAUGAAUUAAUCAAAUAUAGGUAAAUUUAGUUAGAGAAAUAUUAACAAUGCUUAAAGAUAUGAAUUUAAAAAAAUCUAAAAUUUUAACCAUAAUUAUCCAUGAUUACAAUAAAUAUAUAUAGGAAGGGUUGAAAAUAAUGAGAGCAAUGUAUAAGCAAACAAGACUAAGAAAAUAAUGAAACCAAAAAAUUUGUCUCUAAAAGGUAUGAAAAAAUCACAGUAAAAUAUGAAUUAAUGAGAUAUAGGGAUAAAUUUAACAACAGAAAUAUUAAUAAUGCUUAAAUAUAUGAAUUUAAGAAAAUCUAAAAUUUUGGUCAUAAUUAUUCAUAAUCACAUCAAAUAUAUAUAGUGAUGGGUGAAAAUAAUGAGAUCAAUGUAUAACUAAACUAGACUAAGAUAGAAAAUAAUAAAACUAAAAAAAUUCUCUAAAAUGUAUGAAAAAAUGAGAGUUAAAUAUGAAUUAACAUAUAUAUAUAUAUAUAUAUAUAUAUAUAUAUUUAAUUAGAAAAAUAUUGACAAUCUUAAGUAUAUGAAUUUAAGAAAAUCUAAAAUUUUGGCCAUAAUUAUUCAUGAUCACAUCAAAAAUAUAUAGGAACAAUUGAAAAUAAUGAAAGGUAUAAUCAAAUGAGACUAAAAUAGAAAAUAAUGAAACCAAAGAAUUUGUCUUUAAAAGUUACAAAAAAAUAAAAAUAAAAAAUGAGAGUAAAAUGUGAAUGAAUGAGAUGUUGGUAUAAAUUUAAUCAGAGAAAUAUUAAUAAUGCUUAAGCAUAUGAAUUUAAGAAAAUCUAAAAUUUUGGUCAUAAUUAUUCAUUAUCACAUCAAAAUAGGACGCUUGAAAAUAAUGAGAGCAAGGUAUAAUCAUACGAGACUAUGAUUAUCAAACUACUUCAAAAUCAAAAUCCUUAAUAGAAUCAAAUCAUCAAGAUGAUGUUAGUCUUUUUCAAAACAUUGAAGAAAAUCUAAGCCAAAGUUCCAAUCACCAAGAAAUAUGCAUAAAAGAUAUUUGCCGGCCAAAGACCUUAAAUGUAAUCACUAUGGAAUAAGAAUUAAUUUUAGAAUUAUUUAUUAAGGUUAAAGAUUCUUCAAUAAAAACAUAAUUAUGUGAAAUUUGUAAGAAAUCGAUUUCUAAACUAGAAAUGAAAAAAAAAAAACUAUAAAACCUUAUAACUUCUAUGAAAUCUUGACAAGAUUUAACUAUAAUUCCCUAAGAAAGUGAUUAUUAAAGAUCUUCAAUAGGAAACAAGAUGAUGUUAGAAGUUAGAGAAUUAAGACAAUACACCAACAUAUGUUUAACAAACCUUCAAGAACAAAUUAAUUAGAUAGUAAGUAAUAAGAAUCGAUCUUUAAAAAAUGCAAUGUUUCCCUAAUAAUUGUGAUUAACAAUGAGUUCAUCGCUAAGAUUAAUUGUUGUCUUAAUAGAUUCAAGAGUAGCUUCUUUAUGGCAUGCUAAUAGGUCAAACUUAAGAUUAGGUACAAUUUGUCUAAGGCUUAUAUCAAUAAUCAAGGGAUAUGCACACAACAUUUAAUUUGGUAUAAGAUUUAAGAGAAGAAAUAUUCUUGAAAUACCCUUUUUAAUUGUCUGGCCUAUCACUAGAGUAGAUGGUCAAGGUAUAAGACUAAAUUCUUAAAUCAAGAGACUCUUUUUGAAUUUGCAUAUCCUUGAAAAAGAAACCUAAAUAAAUUAAGAUCCUUGAUUAUUUCUAAAAAAAUACAGGCUAAGGAUAAUCAUAUCAAUUUUUUAGUUCAAGAAGUUAGAUCUAAGAGAAUUGAAGAACAAUUAGAAGUUAAAAAGACUCAAGAUGUUAUCCAAUAAUUCAAAGAAAAGUUGGUUAGAGAAGCCUGUCCUAAAUUCCCUAAUGUAUUUUGGCAUAGGAAUGAACAUGUUAUGGAACUACCUUACAACCUAGAAUUUAGGGAAAAUGAUAUUCCCACUAAGGCAAGACCAAUUCAAAUGAUUCAAAAACCAUUGAGAUAUUAUGAAAAGGAAAUUUAAGAACUCUUUAAAAAAUUAAUAAAAAAUCCAAAUCUCCUUUAAGUUGUGUAUGCACAAAUUUCUUGAAGUCUUGCAAAACAACCAAAAACUAUAGGAAAAAUAUAUGUGAUCAAAACUUUAUAUUAAAAUUAAUUGAUUGUGCGGUAUAGACUCAAAUAUAAUAUUCUUUACAAAAGAAAAUUUUCCCUUUAUUCAUUCACUUUGAUUACAAUCCCAAAGAUGAUGACAAGAGUCUUUUCUUGAAUUUUGAAAAUCAAUCCAAUGCCUAGAGUGAUUUUCUCAAAUGAACUUGUUAAAUGAUGAAAAACACGUAUAUACUUUUAUUGUAUAAAAGUAUAAAACACUUUCACAUUUAUUUUUAUAAUAAUUAUAUAAUGUAAUUAAAAAUAAUAAUGCAAAUUAAUUAAUAUAAUAAUUUCAAAAUAAUAAAAUACAAAAGACAUGCAAAUAAAAUUAAAUAUUAUAAUUUUUUUUUCAUUUUAUAUAUAUCCUUAUAUUUAAAUAUUAUAAAUGGUCUAUUUAAUAAAAUUUAAAAUAUUAAUAUAUUUAUAUUUCUCUUCAUCAUUUAAUUUGAUAUGUCAAAUAUAAAAAUGAAAUUAUUAAAAUUUUUAAUUAUAUAUAAUUUUAAUUUCUUAUAAUUAUUUAAAAUUUUAUAAUAUAUAAAUUAUUAUUUAUGAUGUCGAUCGAGGUCCGACCAAUGAACCAUGAACAAGUAACUUUUCUAGUUCAAUCACCAAUCCAAUUAAACAUUGAUCAUAUGACUUGUAAUACAAAAAUUCAUGGCCCCACAAUUGAUUUUUUAUUUAUUAUUUUAACCAUGAAAUGUGGGCCCCCAUGUUGUUCUUAAAUCUUAAAUAUCAAAUAAAAUGAUGAAAUAUUUUUAAAAUUUUAAUUAUUUAUAUAUAUUUUUUCACUUAUUAUAAUAAUUUUUAAUUUUCAAACCGGUUCAAUCGAGUCAACAACCAAUCCAAUUUUGAAAGCAUUGGUAAAUAUAGGCAUAAAACUAUUGGAAAUAACUCCCGCCUUUCCAAGGAAGGCCUAAACUUCCCUUCUUGCUUGCUGAAUUCUAAAUUUAAUAGCAUUGCAAACGCUGCAGAUUAAAAACACAGGUCUAGUUUUUUAUAGUUUCUAUAUUUUCAUCCUAUUAUUUAUGUCUUUGGUACUUAGAGCAGAGAUUGAAAGUGGAGGCCCAUACUGUUAAGUUGGUAACCAAGGAUGAAAGAAUAGCUCAAGGUUCUAUUACUGUCUGGAAUUUCAAAUUACAUAAAAUUGGGACGACAAAGAAAUUAAAGAAUUUAAUAUCCUAACAUCCUACGUACACAAAGAACAAAACCUUUUUUUUCAUCUUACAAUCAAAUGUUGAACUGAAAGGUUACAUACAUAAAAUAACCAACCAUCCUUGAAGAACUUGUGCUCCGAAUGACUUCUUAUCGCCUUUGGAAGUUAAAUGCCUUAAUGGCGUAGGCAAAGAUGAAUAAGAACAGCACCACAAACCCAACAACCACAGCUGCAACCACUCCCAGGAAAUCAUGUUUGAACCCAAAAUAAUCAUCCAAGAAUUGUUUCACCGUUUGAUUUUUGUCAAGUAGUGUGUCCUGUAUAUCUCCAAACUGUGAUGUAACCAAUCCAUACAAAGUCCAUGCAACUGGACAUAUCCAAUAGUACCAUCUCCACCACACCGGAAUUCUCUGUAUUCAUCAAGGAAGAAAUGCAACAAUAUGAGUCAUUUCUAUAUCCAUGUGGUAAGGAAAGUUGCAAUUUAAAGAAUCACAGGUUGAGAGCACUUACGUUUCGUGGGACUAUAAAACCUGAAAAGAGGUUCCAUAAUGUAUAAAAUGUUGCGGCAACAAUGGAAGCAAUAUUUUGAUUUGGUGUGGCAGCCACAGCCAUCAUGCCAUAGAAGGUGAAGUACAAUAACGUGAAGAACAUGAAGAACAGAUACCAGAAGAACUUAGCGGCAGUCCAUUCAAAUCCAAUCAUUGCAUAAACUAUAACACCAUACACAACAGCUUGUGCAAAUACAUAUGGAAUCUCAACUAGAGCCUGCAACAAGAGAAGAAAUUUGAUUAAAAUGCAAAACAUAUUAUACAUAUACAAAGUCUAUAGUGUAAGAAAACUAGUUACUUGUCCAAAGGCAUAUGGCAGGGCUGAAUACAUUCCUGCAGCUCUUUCUCUGUAAAAGACUGUUCGUUCAACUACAACGACUGGCUGGACCGAUUGGGCGUUCUGAACCCCAAGGAAGAGAACAGCAGCAUACAUAGAACCCAUUGCGUUUAACAGAUCUUGUUGCCUUGUCCUGCAAUUUACCACGUCAAGUAUAAAUUAAAGUUGAUAUAGAGAAACAUACUGAGUUCUCAAAUUUUUGAACCGACAUCAAAUUACCUUUCGGUGCCCAGAUCCCAGAACAUUGUCCCAAACAUCAAGGCUAUGAAAGUUGUGAAGAGAAAUCUCACUGCCGUGUAUGGUGGGUUGCGCCAGUAUGACCAACGUUGUUUCCAUAAGCAUGCCAAAAAUUGGGUGAAGAAGGGUUGGGAGUAUUGAGUAGCGAAAUAGAGGUCUUUUGUACCAGGGGCAGGUUGGCUCAGUUCUUUAAUUAAAUCUUUGUUUCUCCUGAAACAUAUGCCACUUGUUAGAACAGGUUUCAACUACAAAUUUAAGCUUUUCAUGAGAAACAUUAGGAUGGAUGUAUAUGACUUUUCAAUCUUAUUAUGCAAUUAGAUAACAUAUGGUUGAAUCACCUGUAUAGGUCUGAAUUCUUGUAUAUUUCAGUGAAAUCUACCCCCAAAGUUCCUUCUUGUGCUCCGGUGGUAACUUCCAGCAUCCAGGUUGCAGGGUUAUAACCAUCUUUGAUUUUACUGACUCCUUCAAUUCCCUUUAUGAAAGCAAGUGAUAUGUAUUAGUAAGUGCUUGAUAUGAAUUAACUCAAACUGAAGUAUUCACUUCUUAUAGCUUCUACUUUAUCAUGGCAGCUUACCUCAAAAUAAUUUAUCAGAUGGGAAGAAUGUCUACCCAGUGUUCCCACAUAUAUCUCUUGCCCUCCACGCUUCAUCAGGAGCAACUGCAAAUCCAUCUUAAAUAUUUCAGUGCCUAUAUGCAAAGAGAACAGAAGAGAAACUAUAAUUCUAUCCCUUAACAUUUCCUACCUCAUCGAAGGCCUCAAAUAUGUCAAUACUUGGCUGAUGGAUGGUGCACACAACUGUUCUUCCUGUGUCCACUGUGUUUCUGACUGUUCUCAUAACAAUUGCAGCAGCUCUUGCAUCUAGCCCUGAAGUUGGCUCAUCCAUGAAUAUUAUUGAGGGAUUUGCCACAAGCUCAACUGCAAUAGUCAGCCUCUUGCGCUGCUCGGUUGAGAGACCAUUUACACCUGGCAACCCAACCAGUGCAUCCCUCAAUGGGGUCAGUUCCACAAGCUCCAUGACUUCCUCAAUGAACAUCUGUAACCAUUAGCAAUGAUUAUGAAUUGUUUAAAAAACGUUGCAAACCAUAGUAGAGAUGGUAAAAAAUUUGACACUGCUUGUGACUCUUCUGUUAGCAGGUUGUGAAGAGGUUUCCCUAGUCUUACUAAAUGGAUCGGUUAGUAGAUGCAAAUGCUCAAUAACACUCAUUAGCUUGCAUGAACUUCACCCAAUUGGAUUAAAAGUCAGUGAAACUUGAACCAGCACUUUUUCCCAGGUGAAGGUCAAUCCAAACUUGAACCUGACCUUACCUCAACCAAGUAUAAAAAGUCAAUUCUAGGGCUUUGCUUGUUUAGAGCACUAAAUUGAACAAGAAAAAUAUGGAAACAAUUAAGAAGACUCCUACCUUUCUGGUUUCAGAAUUCACAUCAGAAGGCAACCGCAGCCAAGCUGAGUAGAGCAAGGACUCAUGGACAGUAACAUGAGGAGAGUGGAUGUCAUUCUGCUCACAGUAUCCAGAAAUUCGAGCAAAAGUCUCUUGCUUCUUUGGGUAGCCAGAAAUAGUGAUGUUACCCUCAAUAUAUCCACCGGUUUUCCGACCAGCCAGUACAUCCAUGAGAGUGGUUUUACCAGCACCGCUAACACCCAUCAGAGCUGUAAGAACACCAGGCCUGAAAGCACCACUCACCCCUUUCAGAAGCUCCAGUCUGUCUUCAAGGGCACCUUGACUUUUCAUUUCCUGCAAGUUCAUUUCAAACAACUCAGUUCUCAUUUCUGGUUUAUAGUACAUUAUGAAAAAACUUCAGUGCUGCUAAAACAUAUGUCAUCAUUUGAAUAAAUAUGACUUUACCUCUGGCAUGUCAACUGAGUAUCUAAUAUCAUCAAAAGUGAUUGAAUGUGGUUGGAAUGGAAGAACCAUUCCUUUCUUCUUAUUAUGAUUAGCCUCAGCAAUGGCUUCUACCAUUUGCUCUCCCCGCUCUGCAUGUCAAGUUUAAAUUCAGUGAGCCAUAUAAAACAUGUAGUUAAAUGACAAGAAUUGAGUCAUACAAAGGCAUGCAUGCAUGCACCAUGUAUGAGUUUCAUCACCUGUGGUUGCAGUUUUGGCAUUGUCAGACUCUUCUAUUAUAACAGCUUGAGGCUUCUCAAAUGCUGCACAAUUUGCACAAUGUUAGUACACUAAGCUCAUAUUUUUAGGAGUUUCAAUGCAGAGAAGGUACAGAUACCCACGAUUUAGGUAAUUAAGGCAGAGGGUGUAAAAGAUGUUGAAAACAAAUAUGAAUCCAAGCAGUGCCCCAGCUCCUAUCCAGUACCAGUGUGCGUCUGUGAAGAACCCACGAGACUUCAAUACUGUGACUCCAAGGGAUUCUGUUGAAUCGGUGACAUUCUGAAAUAUGGAAAUAAGUACAAUCAUCAGUUACUGACACACAUAAAUAAACACAAAUAUUCACAUGGAACAUUCGAGAACUUACUUUGCUCCAACUCUUCCCAAGGAAUUCAUUUACCACUAUUGCAUUCUGUGCAUACAUCAGAGGGGAAGACCAGUAACCCCAAAUCCACCAUUUCUUGACAUUAUCUGCACCAUUGACCAAAUAAAAAAGGAAACAAAAAUUCAUUAUCAGGGGUUAUGCACAAGAAGGUUCUAUGUUUCCUAAAAAAAUAUUUCCUCAUCAUACCAUAUGACAGGAUAAAACCACCCAAUGCCAAGAGCAUAAGUAAAGCAAAUGCCCCAAAUGUGUUUGCAACAAUCAUGUUUCUACCGGCUGCUGCUAUAAAUCGAAAUAAUCCAGAUGCCAUCUGAUUAACAAGCAAGAGGAGAAGAUACUGUCUAAACAACCUGCAAUAAGGAGAUUUGUUUAUUCAGCAUUAAUCAUUUUGGAACAGAGAAAACAUGUAAAAGAAAUCUGGAUAAGUUUCUGCAACUUCAUAACUUUUUAACUUUUACCUUUCCACAUUUGGAUCAAAUCCAAUGACGUAGUAAGUGAUGAACACCCAAACACCAACUUCAACAAAUGUGAUGGGGAUCUUGAGCACCCAUGUGGGAAGAGCAUAUGCCCAUGCAGGAUAGAAGAGAAGGUCUCUUUGCUUGUAAAAGACAGGAAGUUUUGCAAUUGCCAUGGCAAGUUCUGCCAUUCCAUUAAACAUGAUCAUGACAACAGUGAAGAACAAAGCACCCGUGUAAAUGUUUCCAUCAUCUGUUGAAUUUUUGUGCAUCUCAGUUCUUAGGAAGAGUGUCAUUGCAAUCACUGCCAUUACUGCAAGCUAAAAAUAGAAAUAAAAAUAAUAAAUUACAAUCACAUAUACAAAAUUAAAAGCCAUAGUUAUAAGUAGCAAUAAUAAUNNNNNNNNNNNNNNNNNNNNNNNNNNNNNNNNNNNNNNNNNNNNNNNNNNNNNNNNNNNNNNNNNNNNNNNNNNNNNNNNNNNNNNNNNNNNNNNNNNNNCAGAUAGGAGAAUGAUGUCAUCAAAAAGAUUGUAAGUCUCAGGUGCUGGCUGGAGGAGAGAGAUGACAGCAGUCCCAUUGAGAAUAUGGAUGGUUUGCUUGAGAGAAUUGAUGAUUUGAUAAGUUGUUGAGCUGUCCAAGCCAGUAGAGAUCUCAUCCAUGAACAGUGCCUUUGAUGGUCCGACCAGCAUCUCACCUAUUAUUCAUACAUUUCACAUAAUUGAAUUAAAUUAAAUUAAUGAACAAAAAAUCUAAUUUGAUUUGUUCUUUCAUUUAGUUAGAAACCAAAUUAUUCCACCUGUUGUGACACGCUUCCUUUGUCCUCCAGAGAUACCCCUUAUCAUCUCAUCUCCUACCAUGGUAUCUGCACAGAUGUCUAGUCCCAGAAUCUGUAGAUUUAAAAGUAAAGAAAAACAAACAAAUCAUGAAUUAGAAUUGGGUUUUCUCAGAAAUCUAUAUGCCAUCAUUGAAAGUUUUAUGGUUCUAAUACCUUCAAUGUAUAAUCAGUGACAACAUUUUCCUUCUGACCUUCUGUUGCUGCUGCCUGAAAUAUUGGAAUCCAAUGAUGAAAAUGUCAACCACCAUGGAAGCAACUUCAGUACAUUAAGAAAUUUCAUAGAUAAAAGAUUCCGACGUAGCAUAAAAUUCACAAAUUAGAUUGACUCAAGCCAUUCAUUUGAGUACAAAAAGAAAGAAACAAACUCCAGAACAGACAGAACACCGACAAUACAAAGCCAUUUUGCCCAUCUAUGUCAGAAUUCAAAAUUUAAUUUCUGGAAAAGAGCAGUAUCCAUGUUCACUAAAAGCAAAUAGCUCAAUUUCUGCAGAGCUGAUUAAAAUUUCACAAAAAGUAGAUUCUGUCUCACCUUCAUGAAGACAUCAAGAUCAGGAUCAGGCUUAAUAUUUGCUGCUUUCUCUCUUCUUGACAGCUCUGCUAACAUGUCUGCAGAUGGCAAAAAUAAGAGUCAAUCUUCUAGGCUACGGAAAUGUCAUAAAAUUGCAUUCACAACCUGCAAAAAGCAGAGAAAAUAAAAGCAAAGGCAAUGGUUUAGACUAACCAUAUCGAUCUCCAACACCCUGGCAUCUUGCAGAGAAUGCCAAGGUUUCCCUUACAGUCAUUUCUCCUAUAUGGGUAUCAUGUUGGCUGAUAUAGGCUGCAGUUCUCUGGGGUACAAACUCAUUCAUGCCAUGGCCGUUGUAUGUCACCCUUCCCAUAACCUAAAGAAGGAAUUUCAGUUUUGAAAUUGGAUAUGAGAUUAAAGAAAUAAAAAAUCAAACAUUCCAUAAAGAAUGGAGGAGUAAUAAUCAUUUUCUUUCAACCUUUAGAUUGGGAUCAAGCUUUCCAGCCAAUGCCAAUAAGAGGGUGGUCUUUCCAGAACUUGGAGGACCUAAAAGCAAAGUCAAUCUGCAGAAGAAAAAUAUGCACAAAAAUCUUGAGUAUGGAUCCUCGGGACAUUCUAAAUUUGAAGAACGAAAAAAUCAUUUGAGUUAUCAAUCCAUUUUUUACUAGAAACAAAUUCAUUCUCACCUGCGUGGUUUGAUGAUUCCACUAACAUCAUUGAGAAUAGUGAAUUUCCUCUUUUUACUUGGAAGAAUGCGCACAGCGUUCAGGAUACCCUUUGGAAAAGAAGGGAAAAUUAGAUCUAAAAACAAACUUACUUAAAAGAAUACUGAGUACAGAAGUAAUGAUCAGCAUUUGCAUGAAGUUACCUCAAGUUUACUAAAAAUGAAAUUAUGGAAUGAAGGCAAAGCUCUGCUUCCUACAAAAGCUUCUGCAUCGAUGGUAAGAUGCUCAAAUCUAACUUCAAUUUCGGGAACAUCAAUUCCAACUCUGAAAAAAUGGAAGAAUCAUGAAAACCCAUUAUCAAAAAAUUCAAAGGAAGAUGUUGCUUGGCUGUGGAGAAAAUGUGGGAAACACUCAUGAGGCAUAUUUCAGGUCAAGUUUUCAUUUUUUUUUCCUCUUUAUGUUCUUCUGUUUUCAAUGUUCAAAAACAAAUGGCAAGGAAUGCAAGAAAGGAGGAGAAAUCUCACCUAUCGAUACGAUUCUUGAGCUUCAACAAGAACUUCUCAUUGUCCUCUUCAGCGACUUUUACCAACCGCUCCACUAAAUUCUUCUUGUCCUGAAACCCAAGGUUAUGGAUAUCAAUUUCACUGGCCUCACCCUCGGAUCCCAUCAGCAAACCUCUCCUCAACCGAUUGUAGGUGGGAAGUUUCUCGAGUGCGGCCCAUUUCAAAGCUUCCUCAUCAUCCUCAUCCCUCGAAGAUCGGGAGAAAACAUCCGCACCGGAGCUCCUCCAUAUCGAAGAACCGUUCCUCCUUAAACUACCACUGGCUCUAUAAAUG
rnacentral:lncRNA from 1 species